rnacentral:lncRNA from 1 species
GAUUGGAGCACGGUCAAAGCCGUGGCUUAGUAGUGGUGAGGAGGAGGGGGUGAAGCGUAGACAUAAUGGGGUGGGGGUGGAGGAGGAGACUUGUAUUUGUAAACUGGAGGAGGAGGUGGUGGAGACUUGUACUUGUAAGGGUGCUUGGGGGGUGAUGGUGGGGGUGGUGGGGGUGACUUGUACUUGUAGGGGUGCUUGGGUGGUGACGGUGGGGGUGGGGACUUGUACUUGUAAGGGUGCUUGGGGGGUGAUGGUGGUGGUGGUGGAGGUGACUUGUACUUGUAGGGGUGCUUGGGUGGUGACGGUGGUGGUGGUGGGGGGGACUUGUACUUGUAGGGAUGCUUUGGUGGGGAUGGUGGUGGUGGUGGUGGGGACUUGUACUUGUAGGGAUGCUUAGGUGGGGAUGGUGGUGGUGGUGGAGACUUGUAUUUGUAAGGAUGCUUUGGUGGUGAUGUUGGUGGAGGUGGUGGGGACUUGUACUUGUAAGGGUGCUUGGGUGGUGAUGGAGGUGGAGGUGGUGGAGACUUAUACUUGUAAACUGGAGGUGGUGGGGGUGGAGACUUGUACUUGUAGGGGUGCUUGGGUGAUGAUGGAGGUGGAGGUGGUGGAGACUUAUACUUGUAAACUGGAGGUGGUGGGGGUGGAGACUUGUACUUGUAAGGGUGCUUGGGUGGUGAUGGUGGGGGUGGGGACUUGUACUUGUAGGGGUGUUUAGGUGGUGAUGGUGGUGGUGGUGGUGGGGACUUGUACUUGUAAGGAUGCUUGGGUGGUGAUGGUGGUGGAGGUGGAGGAGACUUGUACUUGUAAGGAUGCUUGGGUGGUGAUGGUGGUGGAGGUGGUGGAGACUUAUACUUGUAAACAGGAGUUGGUGGGGGAGGAGAUUUGUACUUGUAAGGUUUCUUGUGUGGUGGUGGUGGAGGAGAGUAGACCGGAGGAGGCGGUGGGGGAGACUUGUAAUGGUAGGGUGGUGGUGGGUAUUUCUUAGGAGGUGGUGGAGGAGAAGAAUAAGUGUAAUCUGCAGAGGUUUCAAAAGGCAAACUGAGAGACACUGCUAGAACUAAAAGAGUGAGAAAGAGAGAGGUCAUUGAUGACCCCAUUUCCCCCAACUUUACUUCUAAAAAUGGGUUUAAUUUGGUUUAUGCUCGUAGACACCCUCUUCUCUCCCUUUAUAUAGACUUUGUUUUAACCUUAUAAUCUUCAUUUAAAUAUUGGGAAAAAGAAAAGGGCACAUUUUCAUUUCUUGGAAGUAAUCAGAAAUAACUGGAGAAUCAUUGAAUUUGAGUUAUAAUAUUGAGGUUGCUAGCUAAGCAGCGAAUACAGUAAUAGUGAUGUGAUGUGUAUAAAAUACUUUUAUGUAUUUGGCUCGUAGUUGACUUUAUACAUAUAACUUUUUACAUGUACGUAUGAAAUUAGACAUGAUAAUAUUAAUAUUAAAUGUGAUACGAUAUAAAAUAAUUAAAUUUAACAUAACAGGAAUACCUCAAUUCUUGUGUAAUUGUUAUGGUCAAUUGUACCCUCCGUUCCUCUGAUUAAACAAAAUUUAAGAUUUUGACACCAAUAAAAAAAAUUAAGAUCUAAUUCUUAAAUUUUAGAAGUUAAAAAAAAAUAGUCUUGACCUUAAUCUUACUGAAUUUAAAAUUUUUAAAAUUUGAUAUCCAUAUAUAAGAAAAAAAAUUAAAAAUUUUAAUUCCCACUUUUUUUUGUCAAAAUUACCAUCAACUCAUGCAUGUAAACAAAUUUUGACAAAAGAAUACCAACUAUAAUUAUAUACUGGGUGUAACACCCUAAACCCGGCCUAAACGUCCAGUCCAAGUUAGAAAGUUACAUCAUCGAUACUCAAAUACCUCACAAGUAGCACAAUAAUACUAAACCAUGCUUCACAUAGUAUUCAUCACAAAGAUUAGUUAAGUGUAUAAUCUUCCAAAGUCAAAUUAUCAUAGUUUACCAAAACUCCGUACGUAAUACUUUAAGAAAGAUAAAAGCUUGAUUGAGCUCCUGCGACACUGACCCGAUCAAGACUGGCAACCACCUGAAAUCCAACCAAUAGCAAAAUAAGUUGUGAACUCAGUGCAUAAAAGAAGUUUGUUCAACUAAUGCUCACUUAUAAAAUAGUUCUGAAUUCAAAGAUUCGGUUCGAUACAGAAGUAAUUUCAGUUCAGACUCAGAGCAGAUUAGUUCCAUAUAUAUAUAAGCAAUUUCAGUUUCAUAUACGAUACAGAUCAGAUUCAGAUGCAAUAUUCCUACCCUCAUCCGCUACAUACCGUCUUCGGCUAUCCCAACACACCUUUAAGGACAUUCAAUGUCCAACCAACCCUGCACACCUUAGAGUGUCCGUUUGACACUUUUACAGAGACGCAGCUUAGCUGCUAGAUCAGAAUGCAACAAAGCGCCAGAAUCAGAUUUAUACGCAUUAUGGCUUAGCCACUAAUUCAGAAUAGAUUACUUCCUUCUUCACAAUACCCCAACCCAUGCAAAUGCAGAGCAUAAUACCCGUUUCAUGUAUUCAGUCAUUUUAAUUUAUUUCACAAAUAGAUAAAAAAGUUUAACAUCAUAAUAAGUAUCAUAGUAUACAUACAACUAUGUUACUCCUACAUCAGUCUCAGGGUAUCAGACCGUUCUCAUAUAAUCAAAUUCAUUCAUUCAUACAUUAAGGAGGACAGUAUCAGUGUUAAGCAAUAUUCACGGCCUCAAAAACAGGUUUCGGGCUCCAAUAACAUGCCACAUGGUUUGGUCACUUGCUCAUGUCCUCUACCCGUAUGGUUCUAAAGCAUAAACAUUGAGUUACACGGCCAGGACACACGCCCGAGUCCCUGCCCGUGUGACUCACUCGAAUUGGGCACACACCCAUGUCCGUGGCUGUGUGGUAGUGUACCAAAAUAGUGAUACACGGUCCAGACACACGCCCGUGCCCAUUGCCCGUGUGAACCCUACACUAAAAUGGCCACACACGGCAUAGACACAUGCCCGUGUGUCUUGCCCGUAUGGCCCCAAAUCGAUAAACAGUGAGUUACACGACCAACUACACAACCUGCCACAUGGCCUGGACACAAGCCCGUGAGACCAGCCAUAUGGCAUCGACAGCCACCAUUUUCUGCGAUCGAAACUUGCAAAAAUUAAGGUUUCCAGUACGCACUUGGUUUCACUUUAACGGAAAAAUAAUGCGAGGACUACCCGAAACCUAAUUAACCACCCAAUAAUCAAUUACACCAUCUUUUUUAAUAUUUUACUAAAAUCAACCUACCAUCAAGAUCAUGUCGAAAGUUUCGACGUAACCCCAACUCAAUUUGCAUACUUACCUCGCAUGAAACAGAGGAAAUCAGGCUAAAGCUGCGGAGUAACAUCUCUUGUAAUAUCCUCGCCUGAAAAAGUAACCAAUUAAGUGUUUAAACAGAACGUUCUAGCAAACGAUCAAAAUCGCGUUUCAUUAGAAUAAUGUUAACAAGAUGGAACUCGCAAAACGAAAGGAGGUAACGACGAAACUUACACAAUAAUCGCACAAUCGAACUCACAGGCAACGAAAAAUUCCCAAUUAAUGCAAAAUCAAAUACAGUAAAAAGUAAAAAGAAAAGAAAAAAGAAAAAGAAAAGAGAACCAAGAACUUAGGAAAAUGAAAAGAAGAAAUGAUAGAAUUUCUUCAAAAUGUUUUAAGUUAACCACCAUCCCACAUUCCGACAUUUGAAAAAAAAAUCCUAACCCAUACGAUAGGGCUUGAACUCGGAACUAGACAGAAUACAAACAGAUGCUUAACCAGUGAACCAGUAGGCUCAUUCUUAACACCCAGAAUUGCACUUAAAUACAUAACACAUGGAUAAAGGUUUUUUUUUUAAAAAAAAAACAAAACUUUUAAUGAUGCAACUCAAACUCCAAACCUUAAACACAAUAGCAGAACACAAAGCCACAAAUGCAGAAAUUUAAAUACUGCAGAUUCUUACAAUUAAAUUCUUAAAAUUUUAGGGUGUUACAAUUCUCUCCCCUUAACAAAAAUUUCAUCCUCAAAAUUUUACCUGACUCAAACAGAUACGGAUACAACCGUCGGAUUGAUUCUUCAGGUUCCUACAUGGCUUCCUUAAUACCGUGGUUUCGGCAUAAAACUUUUACCUGUUUAGAUUGAGCACCUUGCUUAACCGUCGUAGGGACCUAUGACGCUUCUGAACAAUUUAUCCCCAUUCGACCGGAGUUGUUCAGUAAAUGACCCUCGGCUUCUCGAUCUUGAAUAGGUCCCUACGACGCUCUCCAGUACUCGAAUCAUAGCUUGAGAUAGUGUGUCGUCCCCAAUCGUCGGAGUUUGAGACUUCGUCUCAACAGUGGGAGUACCAACUGUUUCGUUGGGCUCCAAGUUAGGCAUAUUACAUAUAGAGGAUGACUCCACUCGGUUUCCUCCUCGACGUCUUCGAUACCCUCAAACACCUCGUCCACGACAACUGCGCAAACCCAUUACAGUAAUCUAGCUACAAUAUCAGAGUGCACAAAUUAGUUCAGACAUCCAACGAGAUGAUUUCACCAGUUUACAUCAAAACAUUUAACCAAAAAAUAGUUUAGGUAUUACAAUAUUUAUAACAGAAUAGAAAUACUUAUAGGGUCAACGUCGGAGGCUCGAUCAUUCACUAAAGUUUCGGUGUUUCCAUAUUAAUUCAGAUACAGAGUUAUCACUAAACUACUUUUCUCACACAUUAUGAGCUCAAACACAGUCCAAAUGUUGACAAACCUGGCUUUGAUACCACUAAAUGUAACACCCUAGACCCAGCCUAGACGUCCAGUCCAAGUUAGAGAGUUACAUCGUCGAUACUCAAAUACCUCACAAGUAACACAAUAAUAAUAAACCAUGCUUCACAUAGUAUUCAUCACAAAGAUUAGUUAAAUGUAUAAUCUUCCAAAGUUAAACUAUCAUAGUUUACCAAAACUCCUAACUUAAUUAGUAAAAGAAAGAUAAAAGCUUGACUGAGCUCCAGCGGCACCGAUCCGAUCAAGACUGGGAACCACCUAAAAUCCAACCAAAAGCAAAAUGAGUUGUGAACUCAGUGCGUAAAAGAAUUUUGUUAAACUAAUGCUCACUUAUAAAAUAGUUCCGAAUUCAAAGAUUCGAUUCGAUACAAAAGUAAUUUCAGUUCAGAUUCAGAGCAAAUUAGUUACAGAUAUAUAUAUGAGCAAUUUCAAUUUCAUAUACGAAACAAAUCAAAUUCAGUUGCAAUAUUCCUACCCCCACUUGCUACACACCGUCUUUGUCUAUCCCAACACAUCAUUAAGGGCAUUCAAUACCUAACCAACCCUGCACAACUUAGAGUGUCCGUUUGACACUUUUACAGAGACACAGCUUAGUUGCUAGAUCAAAAUGCAACAAAGUGCUAGGAUCAAAUUUAUACGCAUGAUGGCUUAGCCAGUAAUUCAGAACAAAUUACUUCCUUCUUCACAAUACCCCAACCCAUGCAAAUGUAGAGCACAAUACCCGUAUCAUGUAUUCAGCCAUUCUAAUUUGUUUCACAAAUAGAUAAGAUAGUUCAACAUCAGAAUAAGUAUCAUAGUAUACAUACUACUAUUUUAUUCCCACAUCAGGUUCAAAGUAUCAGACCGUUCUCAUAUAAUUAAAUUCAUUCAUUCAUACAUUCAGGAGGCCAGCAUUAGUGUUAAGCAACAUUCAUGGUGUAACACCCCUUACCCGAGACCGUUUCCGGAGUCGAGCACGAGGCAUUACUUAGCUUAUCUUACCAAUUCGGAGCAUAAAAACUAGGUUUGAAAAUUUAUUUCAUUAUUCGCAGCAAAUCUGUCCAAUCGCGCAGCAGUUACUAAAUUAAUUAUAACUUGAGCUACAGAACUCGAAAUUUAAUUCUGUAAAUUUUCCCUGAAACUAGGCUCAUAUAUAUACUCACCAUAAAAUUUUUAGAAUUUUUGGUUCAGCAAAUUAGUACAGUUUAUUAGUUAAAGUCUCCCCUGUUUCACCACCUGACUGCCCUGACCUCUAGUCACUAAAAAUAAGUUUUCUCACUGUAGGAUUUUCAUGUGAAGUUCUUACUUGUUUCUACAGAAAAUAGACUCAUUAAGAAAUCUAAGAAUGUAAAUUUCAACUCAUAACCAUUUUUGUACAAUUUGUAAUUAUUUUCUAAACUCAGAACAGGGGACUCCAAAAACAGUUCUGACCCUAUCUUACUAAAAUUCACAUAUCUUAAAAUAUAAAUUUCCUUUUUCUACACCGUUAUUUUUCCAUGAAAAUAGACUCAACAAGCUUUAAUUCCAUAUAUCAUUCACCCUCUAAUUCAUUUUAUAAUAUCUUGGGUGAUUUUUCAAAUUCACGUCACUGUGCUGCCUGAAUUCUGUUUCUUUGCAAAAUUUUAUCCUUUCAUGAUUUCCAUGCAUAAUUUAUCACCUAAUCUUUCAUAACAACAAACACCUUCAUCCUUAACCAUUUUAAUAACCAUACAUCAUCAAAUACUUACACAUCACUCAUUAGAAAAAUCAUCAUUACAAACAUACAAAAUAACUAAAUCCCUAUACAUGCCAUAACUCAAACGUGUUUCGAUAUAAAAUACCGAGCAGUUGUAGUUGAUAGUGUGGACGAUCUCCGACUUCUUUAGGAUCCUUGAAGUAGCUUUGCAAUACUAUAAGAGAAAGAGAAAUAAAAGAAGUAAGCAUAAAGCUUAGUAAGUUUACUAGCAAAUAAAUAACAAUAUUUAACUUAAAUAAUUAAACUCAAUGUCUAUAUCUCUAGUUUACUCUUUAGUUAAUCUCAUACUAGUUCUCUUACUUGUUUACUUAGAAUACUUGUGUGCAUAACUUACUCAAUCCUUGCUGCAUCGUUGAACAUCAAUUGAUAGUAUAAUAAGUUCUUAAGUCUUACAACUUACCUGAGCUUGCCAUUUAUGCUUUAAACUGAACUUUCAUGAACAUGAUUCGUUUACAAGCCCGUUGAGCUACAUUGGAAUAGUAAGGAUACUCGGGUCUCUUCUGAUAAUAACAUGCCAAAGCCAUGUCCCAGACAUGGUCUUACAUGGGAUGUUCUCGUGAUGGUGCCCAUGCCAUGUCCCAGACAUGGUCUUAUAGGGGACCUCUCAUCUCGGUGCCAACGCCAUGUCCCAGACAUGGUCUUACAUGGGACCUCUCAUCUCGGUGCCCAUGCCAUGUCCCAGACAUGGUCUUACAGGGGACCUCUCAUGAUCUUAAGGAUGCCAAUGCCAUGUCCCAGACAUGGUCUUACAUGGGAUCUCUUUACCCAAAUGUCAUGACAUUCGUAUCCAGUACCAUCCUUAUGUAUCAACGGGACUUUUAAAUUUUAAUUCUCUAUCAUUUCAUGCUUGGAUCAUCAUCAAAUAAAUUCAUAAUUGCUGGAAAUUAACAGCAUUAAUAAUAAAUAUUGAAAUAUUGCAUUUAUUUACCGUAAACUUACCUCGGUACCAAUUAUAGCCAAAUUCACCAACUUAGUCUUCAACUUUAUUCUUCCCUUUGUCUAACCUCGAGUUUCGUACUUCUUGAUCUAAAAUAGUAAAUUUAACUUAUUUAAUAAUCACAUUCAUCAAAACAGCCCUCGACUCUAACUUUUUCAAAAUUACAAUUUUGCCCCUAAACUUUUACAUAAUUACAUUUUUGCCCCAAGGCUCGGAAAUUAAACUUCAUCUCUUAUUCUUAUGUUUUAUAACAUUCUGAAUAUUUUUCCCUUCUAUGGAAACAUCAAAUUCCCACUCUAACAUGUACUUAUGAACAUUAGGUAUUUUUACCGAUUAUGUCGUUUUACUCGUUUUCACUUAAAAUCGCUUAGCAAAAGUUGUUUAACAUAAUUUCUAGCUUCAUAUUCUAUCAUAAAACAUCAAAAUAAACACUUUUCACCUAUGGGUAUUUUUCCAAAUAUAAACCCUAGGUUAAAUUAUUGCUAGAAUAAGCUAAAUUAAGCUACCGGGAUCUCAAAAACGUAAAGAACAUUAAAAACGGGGCUUGGGAUCACUUACUAUGGAGCUUGGAAGCUUGAAAACCCUAACUAUGGCUUCCCCCAUUGCUGAUUUCGUUCAUAUGAAGAAGAUGAUGAUUUUUGCCAUCUUUUUCCCUUUUAAUUCAUUUUAAUUACUAGAUUACCAAAUUGCCCCUAACUUAAAAAUUUUCUAUUUCACUUAUCUCAUGUCCAUAUUUGUCUACCAAGUUACCAAUGGUAUAAUUACCAUAUAAGGACCUCCAAUUUAAAGUUUCAUAACAAUUGGACACCUCUAACAUGUAGAACUCAACUUUUGCACUUUUUACAAUUUAGUCCUUUUGACUAAAUUGAGUGCCCAAACGUCGAAAUUUUCGAACGAAAUUUUCAAAAAAUCAUUUUGUGAAAUUUUAGACCAUAAAAAUAUAAUAAAAAUAAAAUUUUUCUCAUCGGAUUUGUGGUUCCGAAACCACUGUUCCGAUAACCUCAAAUUUGGGCCAUUACACAUGGUCUCAAAAACAGGUUUUGGGCUCCAAUAACAUGCCACACGGUUUGGUCACACGCCCAUGUCCUCUACCCGUGUGGUUCUGAAGCAUAAACAGUGAGUUACAGAGCCUGGACACAUACUCGUGUCCCUGCCCGUGUAACUCACACAGCCUGGGCACACACCCAUGUCCCUAGUCGUGUGGUCUUGUACCACAAACAGUGAGUUACACGGCCCAGACACACACCUGUGUCCAUUACCCGUGUGAACCUUGCACUAAUAUGGCUACACACGGCCUAGACAUACGCCCGUGUGGCCCCAAAUCGAUAAAUAGUGAGUUAUAUGGCCAACUAUACUGCCUGGACACACGCCUGUGUGCCUGGCCGUGUGGCGUCGACAGCCACCAUUUUCAACGACCAAAACUUGCAAAAAAUUAAGGUUUUCUGUACGCACCUAGUUUCGCUUUGACUGAAAAACAAUGAGAGGACUACUUGGAACCUAAUUAACCACUUAAUAAUUACACCAUCGUUUUUAAUAUUUUACUAAAAUCAACAUACUGUCAAUAUCAUGUCGAAAGUUUCGAUGCAACCCCAACUCAAUUUGCAUACUUACCUCGCAUGAAACAGAGGAAAUCAGGCUAACGCGGCGGAGUAAUGUCUCUUGUAAUAUCGUCGCCUAGAAAGUAACCAAUCGAGUGUUUAAACAGAACAUUCGAGCAAACGAGCAAAAUCCCGUUUCGACAGAAUAAUGUUAACAAGACGGAACUGGCAAAACGAAAUGAGAUAAUGACGGAACUUACACAACAAUCACACAAUCGACCUUAUAGGCAACGAAAAAUUCCCAAUUAAGGCAAAAUCAAACAUAGUAAAAAGCAAAAAUAAACGAAAAGAAGAAAAGGAAAAGAGAACCAAGAACUUAGGAAAAUGAAAAGAAGAAAUGAUAGAAUUUCUUCAGAAUGUUUUAAGUUAACCACCAUCUCACCUUCCAGCAUUUGCAAAACAAAAAAUAUUUCCUAACGCAUAUGAUGGGGGUUGAACUCGAAACUAGACAAAAUACAAACAAAUACUUAACUAAUGAACCAACAGGCUCAUUCUUGACACCAAUUUACCUAGAAUUGCACUUAAAUACAUAACACAUGGAUAAAAGUUGUUUUUAAAAAAAAUAAAACUUUUAACGAUGCAACUCAAACUCCAAACUUAAACACAAUAGCAGAACACAAAGUCACAAAUACAAAAAUUUAAUUACUGUAAAUUCUCACAAUUAAAUUCUUAAAAUUUUAGAGCGUUACACUGAGAACCUAUCAAAUUUUAUAUAAUAUAUUUUAAAUACAAUUAUAAUAAAUAUUAAAAGUGAAAUUUGAGAUUACACCUAAGAAACAUUAUAAAAUACACCAACACAACUUAUAUACAUAAAUUGUCAAAAUCAAAUUUAGAAAACAUAUUCAUGAUUAUUAAAUCUUAAAUCUCUCACGAAUAACAUAUAAUACUGAUAAAUCCAUUAAAACACACUAAUAUCAGUACAUAUUAACAUCAUAACAAAAUUAACAAAUUCAGUAAUAUGAUAAUGUACUUAUCAAUUCAUUACAAAAAUCACAUCAAUAACACGAAUUUUCAUACUCCAAAUAGAGGUAAAAGUAUUAUGGAGACUAUUAUAAGAGUCAAAUUACAUUUUGUCCAUUCUACUAAAAAAUGUACAAAUUAAUCAUUGUACGUUAGAUAAAAAGUAAUUAAUUUUUCUGUUAAAAAUUGUAUCUAUUUUUACUAUUAAAAACUUGUCUAUGUACGUCAACAUGACGUACACGUGGCAUACCAUGUGUCACUAUCUAAUUAUUUUGUCAGGUAAACUAGUUUUUAAUAGUACAAAUAGAUAAAAAAUUUUAAAAAAAUAACUAAAUUACUCUUGAAUCUACUAUAUAAAAACUAAUAUGUAAUCUGAAAAAACCUAUUUUACUGCAAAUAGAUAAUUUUAUUGUUAUUAAUAAUUGGAUUUCUUUUCAGUUUUGUUUUCCAUGAAUUUGAAAACGUUUUAUAUGGGUACCAAACUUUUCCAUGAAAUUGCUUGGCUACGGGACCAGGCGGCUUAGACUUUCUUUGCCAGGCUGUAUUCUCCACUCUCUCUUCUUUGUCGUUUACAUUUAAUUUAAACACUCCAUUUGCCUUUUUUAUAUUUCCAUUCCCUCUGUCAAAUCCAUCAUCUUCAGUUAAUUAUCAUAUUCACGAAGAUAAUUAACUAGCUUUUGUCUUAUUUUCUGUUUUAGUUAACGUUUCAAUUGCCAUCAAUUCAAGACAAUUUGGUGAAACUUCAUUUUAUUAUUCAAAAUAUAUUAAGGAAUUAACUCUUUCAAGAGAAGUUUUUUAAGGAAAUAUAGAUUUGGAUCGUCAAGCCCCUCCCAAUGGAGGGCGGUGUACAAUUCAUGAAGAGAGACACUUAACUAAAUGGUAUCCUUAUACCUCAAUAGGAGACUUAUAUAUAUGGCAUAUGACAAGGGUUCAAUCCCCACUAAUGGCGAGAUACUCGCAUUGCGUCUUGGCGGAUGGUCAUAUAUUCACGUACGGUUGAGAUGCUCUCUUUCAUGAACCGUACACAGCUCUAUGUAGAAAGGUUGGGGACAAUACCUUCCAUUGUUAAUAGUCCAAAUUUGUGUUUUAAAAAACGACACUUCAAAAAUUUCUCCUAAAAAUCUGAAUCUAUCAUCAACAAAAACUAGUUAAGAAAAUAUUAUAAUAUUACAUUAAAAUAGAAAUAAACUUUAUUAAUUAAAUGAUAGCCUAAACCAAAAUGGGUUCAAAGUGUAGAAAUCAUGAUUAAUUUAAUCACCGGCAAGGGAUACCAGGUAGUUCUUCUAACUAACCACAACUUAUUUAAUUAAUUUACUAUAUAUUUAGAUAAAAAUAAUUUGAGUUAUUAAUAAUUGAUCCAAUUGCUUAAAGAGACGUUGGUGAUGUGCACAUGAUAUAGAAGCUUAACUAGUAAAAGAAAACAAGAUUUUAAGUAGAUUGUCAAAAUAUCUUUCUCAAAUAAAUAGAGUUUUAAUAGAAACACUGAUUAUCAAAAAAUAUAUAAAUUACUGUUUUUUUUUCUCACAAGAGGAAAAAAGGAAGUGCUGGUGUUUUUAAAGCAAAUAGAGAAUCUUUUGCUUAAAUCACUUUGAUUAAUUGCUUUACUUGCUUUGACGUUUUUAAGCUAUUUUUAGCAAAUAAAAAUAAAGCAAUACAUCUAAUCAAAUAUAUAUACUGAAUUUUACAAAUAUUAAAUUUAUAUUAGAAAAUUAUUUUUUGUAUUAAUAAAAAAUAAGUAUUAAAAACUAAUUAUAUUGUUUGAUUAAAGUAAAUUUUAUUUUUUUUAAAUUUAAUCUUAUUAAUAUAAUAUUUUAUUAUGUUUUGUAUAGUUUUUUUUUUAUAUAUAAUCUAUAGAAAUUACCCAUAAUCUUUUAUCAAUCCUUAAAUAAGAGAAUAAACACACUUUAACACGCUUGAACGUACGGCCUCCUAUACUGAUAACAAUGUCGAUGUCAACAAGCUAAAACUUAAUAGGCAUGUUUUGUUUAAUUUUGAAUAAAAGUUAAAUAUACUAAUUUGAAUAUAUUAUCUUUUGACAAAAAAAAUCCAAUAUAGUGGUUUAAAGAAAAUCAACUUAAUAAAAUUACCAAAUCCAUUUUUUAUGACAAUUUUGUCCUGAGUAAAAAAAUUAAUGGAAUUGUCAAGCAAAUUUAACAAUUUAAGUUGGUGUUUAGAAGAGCUGUGCGUGAACCUCACUCACCUCCAUUAGUCGCUGUCAUUUUCUUCACACAUCGGAGUGUGGCACUCACUCUGAUGAUUUUUCUCAUUUCGCCUCCGCCAUCAACCUCAAAGCUAUAUUCCAACCUUUCCCUCUGAAAAUUUAUUGGUUUGGCAAGGUUGAAAUUUUUGGGAUUUUUUUUUCUGUUUCUUAGGUUUUAUACUACUAGUUGAUGUCUUUUUUCGAUUAUUUCGUUUUCAUUUUCUUAAAAGUGACAGCAAUAGAUAAAAAAGGGUGAUAAGUUUCGAUAACCUAUAUUUGCAAAUUAGUCCCAUGAAUGUAGCACCCCAAACCCGACCCAGACGUUAUGGCCGGAUCCGACAUGCCACAUCGAAGCAUUCAAAAUAUUUUAUAUUGUUGAUCACGAAACAACCUACUUAGUGUUUUAAAAGAUAAUUUCAUUAUAGGUUAAAGUGAAUGGAAGCUGUGCACCAGGUAGGAAACCGGAAAAUAGGAGGUGAGUCUAUCGGACUACUUAAGUACCAAGCUCCCUUCGGAUCCAAUCCUAGACAUGCACACCGCCAUUGCCACACCUUAACGUCGUGUAUAUUUCUAGGAAACCGAUUUGAUUAAGUCAUUUUUAGGAAAAGUGAUUAAUUUUGGAAAAUACUUUCAUUGUGGAAGCUUUGCUUGUUGUCGUGUUAUUUUGAAAUCAAUUGUUGUUUUUUUUUUUGAAAACGCGUCCUAAAGCUAUCCAAUUUCAACAGUUAAAAUAAGUAAUACCUAUCUUAGUAAUACAUAUUAAAACCAUCAAAAAUAAUUAAGCGGCCUUAUUACAUUUAAAAACCCAAACCUCAACGUAAAUAAUAGGAUGUCCAGUUCACCAGAAGAAAACCAAACUUUUAGAACGGGUGGCCACUCCGAAUUCCCUCACAGCUCCAAGCCCACUAUGGUUGGGGAUUUCCUGCGUGGAUGAAAAUAAAAGGGGUGAGUUUAGGGAAACUCAGUGUGUAAGGAAAACUCAUUCAAAGCCCAAGUCAGCUCAAGCCUAUUGGGCCUAAGCCCAUUCAGGUAACAGUGGUACUAGACCAGAGCCCUUUUCAGAUUACAAUAAACUGGGCUUAGCCCCUUAUUCAGAUAACAGUAUGGCCCAAAGGCCCAUUUCAAAAUACAUGCAACAUCAAUAACAUAUGCAAGCCCAUUUGGGGAGACUACUCAACCCACCAACCACUACACUCCACCCGUACCAACCCUACACACCAUGUGGGGAAUAGCUCAACCCACCCAGCCCAACACUCCACAGUUGCAGCCUUGUUGCUCAGUUAACAGUAAAUUGAGGCAAAGCCUCCAAUACGUGGACAAGCCACUUUCAGUACUUCCUCCGUCAAUAUCCCAAUCCCAUGCAUCAGAUAAUAACAACAUGGCAUGCAGUAAAUAACAACAGUCAAAUAUGCAUUUAGGUCAAUUUAAACCUAGGGGUAUUUCGGUAAUUUUUCUACUAGGGGUAAAACUAUAAAUUUUUCACUUUUAAAGGUAUUUCAGUAAUUUAUCUAUUUUAGGGUUUUUCAUGCAUAUUCCUACUUUUCACGUACUAACAGAAUCACGUACCGAGGUUUCUUAUCGAAUUGGGCCCGUUGGCCCAUCAUUCCAAUUUUGGCCCAUUAAGCCCAAAAAUAUCGAGGGCACAGAAAUCAUGCACUUUGCAGUCCAAAUUUUGUAGCUUACCAAAAACAUUAAUCGAUUUACCUCACGAGCAUUCGUACACUCGCAAAUCUACAAAAUACCGAUUUUCGGCAUUUCAGCUUUUCGACUUUUGCCGAUCCAGACUAAGAAAGAGGGCGUUAGUUACACACCUGUUUGCGACGAUAUGCUGACGAGAUCCACACACGAACCACCUACAAUUGAAUUACUAACACGUUAAUCUAACUAUUCAAAUACAAACUACGUAUUAACCCCUUACAAUAUUCAGCCAACCACACCUAUAGAUCAUAGUAAGCUUAUAAGAAAUCAAUAAGCAACUCAUUUACAAAUUUUUGUCAAUGUUUACCACAUAAUCAUAAUUUCACUGCAAGUUGUCUUCCUGAGCAACAGUCAUUAAAUCAUUUAUAACUGGAGCUACAAAACUCCAAAUCAAGUGCCGUUAAUUUUCCCUAAAAAUAGACUCAUAUAUCUUCUAUCCAUAAAAUUUUCAGAAUUUUUGGUUUGGCCAAUCAAUACCAGAUUUUUCUUAAAGUUUCCCAUGUUUCACUGUUUGACUAAUCUGACCACUCUUCAUUACGAAUCAAAUUUCUCAUUGUACAGAAUUCAAAAUAUGUUCUUGUUUAUUCCAUUUGAAACUAGACUCAUUAAUAUUUAAUUACAUAAUUUAUGCAGCUUCUAACUCAUCUCCCACAAUUUAUGGUGAUUUUCCAAAGUCGCGUUACUACUGCUGUCCAAAGCAGAUUUAUUACCAAAUCACUCUUUUACACCUAACUUGCAUGCUUGUUAUUUAAAAAUGUAUAUCACCAAUCAAUCAUCACAUAUCUUUGAUUUUACUUAAGUAUAAUCUCCAUUUCAUCAUUUUAAAGCACAACAUGUUAGCCGAUUUUUCCCCUUAGCAUCUAAGGCACAUGCAUGCUCAUUUGUUUGGCUCAACUUCACCUAUCUUCCAUUUUUCAUCAAAAGAACAUGAAACAACAACCAUUUCCUUCAUUUUAAUUCAUGACUAAAUGCUCACAACACAACUAAAAACCAAAAUAUGCUUCAAGAGUUAAGGUAGAAUCAAGAAGAACUCAUCAGCAUCAAGAUAGAAGCAAACUACCAUGAACUUACCUUCAAUUUUCUUCCCCAAGUGACCAAACAUUCAAUAGCUUUCUCCUCUCCUUUCUCUUCUCUAACUUUAGGCUAUGAUGAACAAAGAUGGACAAAACUUUGUUAUUUUCACCCAUUUUUCUUUUAAUAAAAUUUCAUAUUUCAUCCAUUUAAUUCUUUAAUACAAAAGACAUGAAAUGCCCAUCAUGGAACAUUUACCUAAACCAUUAUCAUGGAACAUUUACCUAACCCAUUAUCAUGGAAUAUUUACCUAAUCCAUUAUCAUAGAACAUUUACCUAACCCAUUAUCAAUUUGUACCAUGAAUUAUGGAUAUCAAGUGCUCAUAUUGUCUACAACAACAUGAUGGCUGGCCACUUCAUGUAAAAUGAGAGGUUUGUCAUGCAAAUCCUCCUAUUUUGCACUCCUGUUUAUUUGGCCACUUCAAUUUAGCCUAUAGCAUUUUCAAACAUUUUCACAUAGGUUCUAUUUCAUAAUUUCACCCCCUUUUUCUUAUGGAACAAAAAUUAACGAAAAUUACCGGGUUCUAUCUUAAGCUUGGGCCUUCUAGAGGCCCACUAACAUAAUUAAACCUAUGCCAACAUUCACAGAAUUCCCGAAAAUUGAGGCAUUACAACUCUACCCUCCUUAAAGAAAUUUCGUCCUCGAAAUUUACCUGAUCCAACUAGUUGAGGGUAUUGUUGACGCAUAGUCUCUUCUGAUUCCUAAGUAGCUUCUUCCCUUCCACGAUUACGCCAAAGUACUUUCACUAACGGGACAGAUUUCCUUCUGAGAACCUUAACAUCUCGAGCCAAUAUUUGCACAGGCUCCUCCUCAAAGGUUAAAUCAGUCUGAACUUCAAUUUCAGCAACUGGCAGGACAUGAGCAGGGUCAGAACGAUAACGCCUUAACAUGGAGACGUGAAAAACAUCGUGAAUCCUGUCUAACUUUGGAGGCAAUUCCAACUGAUAAGCCAUUGGGCCUACUCGCUUCAAAACCCGAUAAGGCCCAAUGAACUGCGGACUCAACUUGCCCUUCUUACCGAACCUUAAUAUCUUCUUCCAAUGAGAAACCUUUAAGAAGACCAUAUCACCUACUGAGUACUCAAUCUCCUUACGCUUCAAAUCUGCAUACGACUUUUGUCUAUCAGAUGCCUCCUUUAAUCGAUUCCUAAUUAUUCUGACCUUAUCCUCAGUAUCAGCUACCAACUCUGGUCCAAGAACUUGUCACUCUCCUAGUUCGUCCAACAACUAGGUGUACGACACCUUCGUCUAUACAGUGCUUCAUACGGUGCCAUUCGAAUACUCGCCUGGUAACUGUUAUUGUACACAAAUUCUGCCAACGGCAAGUAAUCCUCCCAACUACCUCGAAAGUCAAUCACACAUCCCCUCAACAUGUCCUCCAGAAUCUGAAUAACCCUUUCCGAUUAACUAUCAGUCUGGGGAUAGAAAGCCGUACUAAAAUUCAAUCGCGUCCCCAACACCUCAUAAAACUUUUGCCAAAACCGAGAUGUAAAUCUGGGAUCCCGAUCAGAAAUAAUUGAAACUGGGACUCCAUGAAGUCGUACAAUCUCUGCCACAUACAGCUUGGCUAACUUUUGAAGCGAAAAGUCAGUACGUACAGGUAUGAAAUGGGCUGAUUUGGUCAACCUAUCCACAAUCACCCACACUGAGUCUUUCUUUGAUGGUGUCAAAGGCAACCCACUAACAAAGUCCAUGGUUACCCUCUUUCACUUCCAAAGUGGUAUCUUCACCGGCUGUAACAGUCCAGAAGGUAAUUGAUGCUCAGCUUUCACUUGUUGGCAUGUCAAACAUUUUCCUACAAACUCCGUUACUUCUCGCUUAAGUUUAGGCCACCAGUACAAUUCUUGCAAGUCGUGAUACAACUUAUUCUCUCCAGGAUGCAUGGCACAUAGUCCCCCAUGAGCUUCCUUCAAUAUUGUCUGCCUUAAAUAAGAGUCCCUCGGAACACAAAUUCUUCCUCGGAAACACAGAACUCCAUCACUAUUUAAGCAGAACUCAGAAGUUUCCCCUUCCUUAACUUGUUGAAAACGAGCGACCAAAGACUCAUCGUUCAACUGUUUUUCCUUAAUCUGAUCCACCCAGGUGGGCCUUACUUGCAACUCAGCCAACAGACUUCUAUCAUCAUACAGACUCAGACGAGCAAACAUUGCUCUCAGAUCAGAUACAGUUCUACGACUUAGAGCAUCGGCUACCACAUUAGCCUUGCUUGGUGAUACUCGAUCAAAUAGUCAUAAUCCUUAAGCAACUCAAUCCAUCUCCUUUACCUAAGGUUCAGCUCCUUCUAAGUCAACAAAUACUUAAGACUCUUGUGGUCUGUGUAUAUAAUACACCUCUCCCCAUACAAGUAAUGUCUCCAAAUCUGAAGUGCAAAUAUCACUGCCGCCAACUCCAAAUCAUGAGUAGGAUAGUUCCCUUCGUGAGGUUUAAGCUGUCGUGAUGCAUAUGCAACCACCUUACCCUCCUGCAUUAACACGCAGCCUAAACCCACGUGUGAUGCGUCACUGUACACAGAAAAAUCCUUCCCAGACUCUGGCUGAAUUAACACAGGUGCUUCAGUCAGAACUUUCUUCAACUUCUCAAAAGCCUCCUGCUGUGUCUCAGUCCAUACAAACGGUACCCCUUUCCUUAUGAGUUUUGUCAGAGGUGUUGCCAUCACAGAAAAACCUUCCACAAACCUUCUGUAGUAUCCUGCCAACCCUAGGAAGCUUCGAAUUUCCGACACCGUCCUAGGUGGCUUCCACUCUAAAAUUGCUUCAAUUUUUCGAGGGUCCACCUUAAUCCCUUCGACAGAGACCACAUGUCCUAAGAAGGUUACCUCCCUCAACCAAAAUUCACACUUGCUGAACUUCGCAAAGAGUUCCUUCUCCCUUAACACUCACAGCACUAUACGGAGAUACUCAUCAUGUUUCGCUUCAGUUUCAAAAUAUACCAGGAUAUCAUCAAUAAAGACGACUACGAAUAGAUCCAAGAAUGGUUGGAACACCCGAUUCAUCAGAUCCAUAAAUGCUGCAGGAGCGUUCGUCAAUCCAAAUGGCAUAACCAAAAACUCAUAAUGACCAUACCGAGUCCUGAAUGCCAUCUUAUGAAUAUCUGCCUCCUUAACCCUUAACUGAUGAUAUCCAGAUCGGAGGUCGAUCUUAGAAAAUACAGAAGCCCCUAUAAGCUGGUCAAACAGAUCAUCAAUUAUUGGCAGUGGAUACUUAUUCUUAAUCGUCAGUUUGUUCAACUGGCGAUAAUCAAUGCACAUCCGCAUCGUACCAUCCUUCUUUUUCACGAAUAGCACCGGUGCUCCCCAUGAAAACACGCUUGGCCUAAUGAAGCCCCUAUCCAACAACUCUUGAAUUUAAGCCUUUAACUCCACUAACUUCUCCGAUGCCAUCCUAUACGAUGCAAUGGACACGGGUGCCGUUCCAGGCAACAAAUUUAUUCAAAACUCAACUUCUCGGUUCGGAGGCAAUCUUGGAAGCUCCUCCGAAAAAACAUCUUGGAACUCCUUUACGGUCCUAACCUUAUCCACUGUCAGUCCCUCCUCUUCUGACUGACUUACAAAUGCCAAAUAGGCCUCACAACCUUUCCGAAUCCACUUUUCGGCUCUUAAAGCCGACACCACAUUGGACAAAUAAUCCCUUCAUUCACCUAUCACUAUAACCUCCUCAUCCUUUGUGGUCCUUAACAUAAUUCGUUUAGCAGCACAAUCCAGGGUCACCUUAUGCUUAACAAGCCAGUCCAUUCCCAAAAUGAGAUCAAACUCUCCGAACGGUAACUCCAUCAGCUCUCCAGGGAAAAUCCUACCUUGAGUUUCUAAGGGUACAUCCCUAUACAGUUUGUCUACCCUAACCGAGUGACCCAAAGGACUUAGUACAGAUACCCCACUCACAAUCUCCUCAGAGCAGUCCAAGUUGUCUAUAAUCAGUUCUGUGGUCUCCAACCAAUACUCCGCCACAUUCGGGGCUAUAUCAGACACGCCCCUAAAGAUCUCCGCUCCGUUAGCCCGAAGUCGUUCAGAAAUAGAUCCCCGAACUCCAUUGCCCGUACUUGCCCCGGCAACCCUUUCCAGAACACGAAACAUUGCCUGUGACAGGGCAUCAUCCUCAGCACUGCGGUCAUGAGACUCUACCUCUGUUGCUGGUGGUACCGAUGCAUCCACCGCCGGCAUAUGUCUCGAAGACGAAGAUCUCGCUCGAGCACUUCCUCGGUUCCGUCCACGGCCUCUUGUACUCAUAUCGUAUUAUCUUGAUUACGAAUUUUUAUGCAUCAAUUAAUAUUCCAGUGUUUAUUACAGAUGUUUUAUGAAUCAGACAGUAGUUCAGAGUUUGUUUUCGUAGAAUCGAAGUCUAGCUACAGUUUCAGUCUCUUAUAAGAUUUUCCUAUGCUUUCAGUAUCAUCCUAUCUAGAGUGUCCUAGUAGGGUUUCAGUAUAGACAGAUAAUUCAGGAAAAUAUUCAGAAAAGUUCAGAGUAAUACUUACAGACUUGAGCCGGAGAUUCGUAAUGCCACCUUCUAAAGAUUUAAAUUUUAAAAAUCGAUUUUUUCGCAUUCUUUAUAAAAUUUUCGCUUUCGAAAAUCUUUAUUUUUGUAACCCACAGCCGAGUUGUUGCAACCUAGGCUCUGAUACCACUAAAUGUAGCACCCCAAACCCGGCCCAAACGUUAUGGCUGGAUCCGACAUGCCACAUCGAAGCGUUCAAAACAUUUUAUAUUGUUAAUCUAGAAAAAACCUACUUAGUGUUUUAAAAGAUAAUUUCAUUAUAGGUUAAAGUGAAUGGAAGCUGUGCACCAGGUAGGAAACCGAAAAAUAGGAGGUGAGUCUAUUGGACUACUUAAGUACCAAGCUCCCUUCGGAUCCAAUCCUAGACAUGCACACCGCCAUUGCCACACCUUAACGUCAUGUAUAUUUCUAGGAAACCGAUUUGAUUCAGUCAUUUUUAGGAAAAGUGAUUAAUUUUGGAAAAUACUUUUAUUGUGGAAGCUUUGCUUGUUGUCGUGUUAUUUUGAAAUCAAUUGUUGUUUUUUAUUUUGAAAACGCACCUUAAAGCUAUCCAAUUUCAACAGUUAAAAUAAGUAAUACCUAUCUUAGUAAUACAUAUUAAAACCAUCAAAAAUAAUUAAGCGGCCUUAUUACAUUUAAAAACCCAAACCUCAACGUAAAUAAUAGGAUGUCCAGUUCACCAGAAGAAAACCAAACUUUUAGAACGGGUGGCCACUCCGAAUUCCCUCACAGCUCCAAGCCCACUAUGGUUGGGGAUUUCCUGCGUGGAUGAAAAUAAAAGGGGUGAGUUUGGGGAAACUCAGUGUGUAAGAAAAACUCAUUCAAAGCCCAAGUCAGCUCAAGCCUAUUGGGCCUAAGCCCAUUCAGGUAACAGUGGUACUAGACCAGAGCCCUUUUCAGAUUACAAUAAACUGGGCUUAGCCCCUUAUUCAGAUAACAGUAUGGCCCAAAGGCCCAUUUCAAAAUACAUACAACAUCAAUAACAUAUACAAGCCCAUUUGGGGAGACUACUCAACCCACCAACCACUACACUCUACCCGUACCAACCCUACACACCAUGUGGGGAAUAGCUCAACCCACCCAGCCCAACACUCCACAGUUGCAGCCUUGCUGCUCAAUUAACAGUAAAUUGAGGCAAAGCCUCCAGUACGUAGACAAGCCACUUUCAGUACUUCCUCCGUUAAUAUCCCAAUUCCAUGCAUCAGAUAAUAACAACAUGGCAUGCAGUAAAUAACAACAGUCAAACAUACAUUUAGGUCAAUUUAACCCUAGGGGUAUUUCGGUAAUUUUUCUACUAGGGGUAUAACUAUAAAUUUUCCACUUUUAAAGGUAUUUCAGUAAUUUAUCUAUUUUAGAGUUUUUCAUGCAUAUUCCUACUUUUCACGUACUAACAGAAUCACGUACCGAGGUUUCUUACCGAAUUGGGCCCGUUGGCCCAUAAUUCCAAUUUUGGCCCAUUAAGCCCAAAAAUAUCGAGGGCACAGAAAUCAUGCACUUUGCAGUCCAAAUUUUGUAGCUUACCAAAAACAUUAAUCGAUUUACCUCACGAGCAUUCGCACACUCGCAAAUCUACAAAAUACCGGUUUUCGGCAUUUUAGCUUUUCGACUUUUGCCGAUCCAGGCUAAGAAAGAGGGUGUUAGUUACACACCUGUUUGCGACGAUAUGCUGAUGAGAUCCACACACGAACCGCCUACAAUUGAAUUACUAACACGUUAAUCUAACUAUCCAAAUACAAACUACGUAUUAACCCCUUACAAUAUUCGGCCAACCACACCUACAGAUCAUAGUAAGCUUAUAAGAAAUCAAUAAGCAACUCAUUCACAAAUUUUUGUCAAUGUUUACCACAUAAUCAUAAUUUCACUGCAAGCUGUCUUCCUGAGCAACAGUCAUUAAAUCAUUUAUAACUGGAGCUACGAAACUCCAAAUCAAGUUCUGUUAAUUUUCCCUAAAAAUAGACUCAUAUAUCUUCUAUCCAUAAAAUUUUCAGAAUUUUUGGUUUGGCCAAUCAAUACCAGAUUUUUCUUAAAGUUUCCCAUGUUUCACUGUUUGACUAAUCUGACCACUCUUCAUUACGAAUCAUAUUUCUCAUUGUAAAAAAUUCAAAAUAUGUUCUAGUUUAUUCCAUUUGAAACUAGACUCAUUAAGCUUUAAUUACAUAAUUUAUGCAGCUUCUAACUCAUCUCCCACAAUUUAUGGUGAUUUUCCAAAGUCACGUUACUACUUCUGACCCAAGCAGAUUUAUUACCAAAUCACUCUUUCGCACCUAACUUGCAUGCUUGUUAUUUAAACAUGUAUAUCACCAAUCAAUCAUCACAUAUCUAUGAUUUUACUUAGGUAUAAUCUCCAUUUCAUCAUUUUAAAGCACAACAUGUUAGCCGAUUUUUCCCCUUAGCAUCUAAGGCACAUGCAUGCUCAUUUGUUUGGCUCAACUUCACAUAUCUUCCAUUUUUCAUCAAAAGAACAUGAAACAACAACCAUUUCCUUCAUUUUAAUUCAUGACUAAAUGCUCACAACACAACUAAAAACCAAAAUAUGCUUCAAGAGUUAAGGUAGAAUCAAGAAGAACUCAUGAACAUCAAGAUAGAAGCAAACUACCAUGAACUUACCUUCAAUUUUCUUCCCCAAGUGACCAAACAUUCAAGAGCUUUCUCCUCUCCUUUCUCUUCUCUAACUUUCGGCUAUGAUGAACAAAGAUGGACAAAACUUUGUUCUUUUCACCCCUUUUUCUUUUAAUAAAAUUUCAUAUUUCAUCCAUUUAAUUCUUUAAUACAAAAGACAUGAAAUGCCCAUCAUGGAAUAUUUACCUAAACUAUUAUCAUGGAACAUUUACCUAACCCAUUAUCAUGGAAUAUUUACCUAAUCCAUUAUUAGGAACAUUUACCUAACCCAUUAUCAAUUUGUACCUUGAAUUAUGGAUAUCAAGUGCUCAUAUUAUCUACAACAACAUGAUGGCUGGCCCACUUCAUGUAAAAUGGGAGGUUUGUCAUGCAAAUCUUCCUAUUUUGCACUCCUGUUUAUUUGGCCACUUCAAUUUAGCCUAUAGCAUUUUCAAACAUUUUCACAUAGGUUCUAUUUCAUAAUUUCACCCCCUUUUUCUUAUGGAACAAAAAUUAACUAAAAUUGCCGGGUUCUAUCUUAAGCUUGGGCCUUCUAGAGGCCCACUAACAUAAUUAAACCUAUGCCAACAUUCACAGAAUUCCCGAAAAUUGGUGCGUUACAACGAAACUUGAUGGAAAUAGAUAUCUUGUUUAGUCUUGAUCAUGUUUAUUGUUCAGCAAGGCUAGGGCCCUCCAAGGCUAUAUUACAGGUGAUAAUAAUAAGCCUACUGUUGACGAAUUUACAUUCAAUUCGUGGGAUUCAAAAAACUCACUUAUCAUUUCUUGGCUAAUCAACUCGAUGCAACCACAUAUCUCUAAAACGUAUUUAUUACUUGACAUCGCGACAAAAAUAUAAUGCAACUACUCUUACUUAUUCACAAGGGGGAAAUGAUACUAAAAUAUUUGGGAUGCAGAAUAAGAUCUGGUACCAAGCAAUGUGAGAUUCAAUUUCUUAGUAUCAUUCAAGUCUUAGUAGGCUAUGGUUGGAGUUGCAUUAAUAUCAAGACUUUCAAACAGAAUGUACUGGAGAUGCUGUUAAGUUUCAGAAACUUGUUGAAAGGAAUGAAUCUAUGAUUUUUUUAGUUGCACUCAACUAUGUGUAUGAUUAUAUCCAAGUUCAAGUUCUUGGAAAACUCAUUUUCUGUAUCUCCAAGAAUCUUAUUCCUAUGUCCAACAAGAAGAAAGUAGGAGUGUUAUGCUCUAUACAACACCUAGAGAGAAAGCAGGUUUGAUUGCUAAUGGUUCCCAAGAGCAAAAGAAAAAUGGCAAUUCUGAUAAGAAUCAUCUGGUGUGUGAUCAUUGUGGGAAAACCCAACAUACUAAAUAAUCAUGUUGGAAGCUACAUGGUCGACCCAUCAAAGGUCGAGAAAGAAAACAAAUCAAGCCAACUUGGAACCAAGUAAAUUUCUCUGAAGUUGCAAAAACGUCCAAAGAGAUGGCUCCUAGUGAGGUAUUCUCAUCUGAUGAAAUUAAGCACCUUAUACAGCUCUUGUCACAACUUGAGACUCUUUCCAAUACGUCCAAUUUUGUGAAGUCAGGUAAUGCUCAUAAUGCUCAUAAUAAUGAAGUAAGAAGGUUUAUUAAUGAAUUGAGACUCACCAACAAUAAUGGAGCUGGAAGAGGACGUCAAUUUGUGUGGUUUGAAUAGACGAAAGUUGAGCUACCUUAAGGAUCUUCUCUAGGUUGUUAAAUCGUCUUUUAGAGACUAGCUCUAAUAUCAAUUGUUAGCUUGAUUAAUCAAACCAAAAUUGCCAAAAAGGGGUGAAUUAGACUUUAAAAAUUUUGGUAGAAGCAAGGAAAGAAUAUGAAACAAUGAACACAAAGAUUUAAAGUGGUUUGGCUCUAAUUGCCUACUCCACUACCUUAGCUUUUCACAACUAAAGAUUUUCCCAAAUUCACUAAUUUGUUCAACCUUUGAGAAUAAGAUUUAACAUUACAACCCUCUUAAGAUUUUUACCCCAAAUAUUAAGAUAAACCCUCUCAAAGAAUUACAAAAAAGCAAACAAAUAAAUAAUCCUAACAAGAUCAAAAUGUCUGUCAAUUAAGCACAAGUAGACAAGAAUAAACUUGAGCAAAAGAAAGACAAUAAGAGCUCACAAGUGUGUACAAGAGAAUUGUGGAAGUAUUGAGUACAAAGGUUGUUUGAUUGAUAAUUUUUGCCAAUUAAGCACAAAUAGACAAGAACACACUUAAGCAAAAGAAAGACGAUAAGAGCUCAUAAGUGUGUACAAGAGAAGUAUGGAAGUAUUGAGUACAAAGGUUGUUUGAUUGAUAAUUUUUGCUCCAAUAUGCUUUCUUGUUGUAAGAUCUUUAAAAGUCGGUAUUUAUAUCCCUAAUUGAUUUUCAACCGUUGAGGUUAUUGUGGUAGUUAAUAAAGUCGUUGGGGAUGUGAAAAUUAGAGCAUUUAACACACCUACAAUAGCAAGUAUCAAUACCAAACAAAAAUGUAUUGAUAUUUUUUUGUAAUAAAUGCUAAAUUCUAUGACCGUUGGAAUUUAAAUAUUGAUACCAUACCAAAUUUAUCGAUAUCUUAUAAAAAGGUAUUCAUACUGGAUCGAUACUUAGUUGAUUCUGUGAGAAACAAAAUGCCAAUUUAGUAUUAUUUCUUUCAAAGGGUAUCGAUAAUUGGCCAAAAAGGUAUCGAUACUUUUUGGCCUAGAGCAAUUUUGAAUUGUUUGAAAGAUAUUUUGACUUGAUAAAAUGAUAAAAAGACCUUUUUACUUGGUCAAAAUCAUUUUAACUUAAUUUGAAAGUUGUUUCAGAAAAUUUUCUAAGAGUUCAAAAAGAUAUUUAAAAUUUUAUCUUUUAGACUUCAAUAUAAAAAAUUAUUUUAUAAAUUUUUUAUUCAAUUUUAACUUUUAUUGGAAAACAUUUUCAUUUGUUAUAUUAAAACAUGUUUUCAAAUAAAGCUUAAUUUAACAAAUAACAAUAUCACAAAGUUGUGUGUUUUGCCUUACCAAUGUCAUCUACUUAUAGGGAGAAAAAAGUAAAACCCUUUUUGAAUUGUAGAAGUUUAUUUCAAUUAGAAAAACAAACUCCUAGUCUAACUAAAACUAAAAGUAUAGGGGGCGACGGCCAUAGUUAAUAAUACUAGGGUUUAUGGUCCCUCCUUUUAACAUGAGGGGCUUUUGGGCCUCUCCCACAUCGGGUCCAAUUACGAGUACUUCUUAAACUUUUAACCCAAUACUUUAUAAUUCGACCCAACUCAAUUUUUUUCUAUUCCCCAAAAUAAACAUCUCAAUUUAUUUCCAAUUAAAUAAUCUUCUCAACCCAAUUCUAAUUCUGUUAAAAUCAUGACGACUUUAUUGUAAAAGAAUCUAUGAGAAUAUAUUUAAUAUUUCUACAUUCAACGAGUUUAUUAUGACCAAAUGAUUUAUUUCUAUUUUCUAACUUCAUUUAAUUUGAAAACCAUAAAUUUAUUUUCAGGUCAUUUUCAUUUUUCAUUUUCAUUUUGAAUAAAACCACAUUCAUUUUCAAAUGUUUUCGAUUUCUCCAUUUUCACCAUUUCUAUUCAUUUAAUUGGCAUAGUGCCUAAAAUAGCCCCUAAUGUUUGACUGUUUGGUCACUUUAGCCCUUUAUGUUUUUUCUUGGAGCACUUUAACACCUAAUGUUUUUUGGUCAGAUUGAUCUAUUUUUAACAGACAUACUGACGUGGUCGUUAGUUGAUUAAUGAUCAAUAUUAACUACUGAUGUGGUGGUCCAAAUGUAAUUAAAUGCUAAUGUGGCACUAUUUUGUCUUAUAUGCCACGUCAGCAACUGAUUUUAAAAUUAUUAAAAUUAUUUUAAAAUCAUUACCAUUUCAUCUCUAUUUUUUCUUUCCAUCGUUCACCGUUCCCACUUCUUUAUUGUGAAGUUUCUAGGUUUGAUUAGUGAAUAGAUCUGGGGGCCAACUUAGGAUAAAAAAACUUAUUAAAGCUUAAUUUAACUGUUGUAUAUAUUUUUUUCUUGAAUUGCUUUUGUGUCGAUUACUGUUUUGUGUUAUAUUUUCCACCUGCAUUUGUGGUGUGUUUUUAAUCUUUACCAAAUUCCAAACCUUUAAAAUUUGAAGCUCCAAGUUGAGUUCCAGAAAUGCUCACAUUUAGAUACUGGAAGAAUCUAGAAAAAGAAAAAAGAAAAGAAAAAUCAGAUUUUGAACUUUUAACUAUGGGUGUUGGUAACAAACCCUAGAACCCAAAAUGAGAGUAAGAAAAGAAAUGAGAUCUAACCUUGAAAUUAUGAAAUUGGGCCUUGUGAGUAGCAGAUUUAGAUGUUAUGAACAUGAUGAGUUGAGAAAUUUCGAUCAACAAGUUAAGGGAAAAAAUGGAGUGAAGGAAAAUGUGGACGAGGCUUAACAGAUCUAGCUUUGUAAUCAUAAAUUUGUAAGAUUCCUUUUAAGUGGCAUAUAUAGCUACUUACUUGCUUAUAUGGUUGGGCAUCAUCGUUUUGAUAAUGAAAUUUUGAAGUUAUAUAGACGAUUGUCUCAAAAGAUUAGAUGGGGAAAUAUUGUUCCAUCCAAAAGCAAUGGUAAAGAAUGAUGAGCUUGAGGAUAGACAUUAAACUAGUUGUGAGCAAUGGUGUUAAAUUAUCAGACAGUUGGGUAGUUGAUGAAGCAGCAGCAAAGCUACAAAUUUGAAUGAUUGGAGAUAGAGAAGUAUGCAAUUUAAGGGAUACAUUUUGGGCCUAGAAAGAAAAAAUGGAGAAGAAGAAACGGUGAUGAUGAUGAUGGUUUUAAAAUAAUUUAAAUAAUUUUAAAAUCAUUUUCUAACGUGAAAUAUAAGAUAAAAUAGUAUCAUGUUAGCAUUUAAUUACAUUUGGACCUCCACGUUAGUGGUUAAUGUUUAUUGUUAGUCAACUAACGACCAAGUCAACAUGUUAGUUAAAAAUAGAUAAAUUUGACCAAAAAAACACAUUAGGUGUUAAAGUGCUCCAAAAAAACAUAAAGAGCCAAAAUGACCAAACAAUUAAACGUUAGGGGUUAUUUUUGGCAUUAUGCCCAUUUAAUUCAACAUGCAAUUCAUUUUUGGUUUCAAUGAGCUAGCGGAGGGACUGAUUGGACAUAUGCAAUUAAGGCGCAAAUGAUUUAUAAAUAAGUUCCAGCUUUUUGCCUUUUAAUUAUAAACUCAUUUAGUCAUGAAGUCAUUCCACUAUAGUAUCGUGAUUGAGUUCACUCCAACAGCAUACCAUUACGAAAGUAACUUGAUUAGUACUCGUCCAAUAACCUUAUCAUAAGUGUGUUACCCUCAUAGGAUAUCCUUAAUCUCUUUGGGAUAAUAUUUGUUCUCCCAAUAUGAUCAUAUUUUAUCUCAUGGUAACCAUUAUAUUUUCCUUCACGAAAAGUCAAUUACUAUCAAAUAGUAAUCAAGUCAUUCCUCAUAAAGACGAACGAUUCGUGGCCACGUUUACUUUUCAUCAGUGAUGUAAUGCCAAUGAGAAUAUAUCAUUUACCAAUGUCUCUGGUUAUGAAUUUCACUAUUGUGAAUGACACUACAUACUACAAAACUCAUUUAAUAAGUACAAUAACUGAAAGAAAAUACCAAAACUGAUAAAUAAAACUCAUUUAAACAGUAAAGUUUAAGGACUAAUCAUAAAUUUAGUAAAACUUUUUUUGUAAAAUUGAGAGUAAAAUUAUGGAAUUAACCAUAUAAGACUUAAUCAUGCAAAUUUUUAAGUCAUUCCAUAGCAUUUAAGGACUCCAAUUGAAAAGAUAACAAAACAUGUCCAAAAUUUACAUAUGACACAUUGACACCUAUCCACACAUACUAUUUUGUGUUUCCAUGCCAAUUUUCAUAUUCUAACAUAUCAUAUAACAUAUAUAGGUCAUACAAAUCAUACUCAAUUACACUAAAACAUACUUUAACACUUUAACCAGUUAGCUAUACUAGCAUGCAAUCCUAAAGUCACAACUCAUAUUACUUAACAUCUCAAUUUUGCAUCUCAUAAAUUUCUAAGUGUAAGUGUAUUAUAGGUUCAUACCUGACCUAUUUGGUCAUUUUAAGCUUGCCUCAAUGAUCAACAAGUCAUUCAAGCAUUUAUAAAAAUAAUUCAUUAAGCACAUGCAUAUCAUCCAUCAUGCAACCAAAAUUUAACAAUCAUGCAUAUUCAAGCUUACCUAUUUGGAAUGUGACAUUCCAAGAAAUAAUAAUCUUAUGUUCAAACUCGACAUUCCAAGAGAUAAUAAUCUUAUGUUCAAACUCUACUAAAUGUGAUUUGUAAAAUUUUAAAAUUUCUAAUAUUCUUUAAAAAUUUUAUUAAAUUUUAGUAUUUUCAUUUUAUUAAUUUUUAAUUUUUAAUUAUUAAUAAGUGUGUAAAUUUUUAAACAUUUUUUAAAUUUAUAAAUUUUAUAUUUUUACUAAAUUUAUUUUUUCUAUUUUUUAAUAGUUUUGCAAAUUUUUAAUUAAUUCUUUGUAAUUUUUAUAAUUUUAUAAAUUUUAAAUAUAUUUUUUUUAUUUUUUGUAUGUACUUUUUAGGUUUUUUGGAUGACGACUACAUAGUAACAUAAUUGUAUGACACAUGAUAGCAUAUGAUUGGUUGACUGAUUUUUUUAAUGUCCAAAGGACUGAAUCAAGAAUAUAUGAUAAUGUUAAGGACUAAACUGAGAACAUCUGAUAAAAUUAAGGAUUAAAGUGUUGAUUAAGCAUUCUGAAUUUGGAAGAAACUUAAAAGCUUCACGCAGCACGCUUCACCAACGACUGAGUUUUGAGUUUGUUGAUAUAAAUACACUUUAUUAUUUAUAAAUAAAAAAUUUAAGUUCUACCACGUGCGAUGGACAUUCUGUACCGGUUUCCUAAUUGCUCCCGUACGGAUGUAUGGGGAGUUGGUAAAGACUAGGACUUGCAAUCUAUCUCCUUUAGACUGCUUCCCUAGCCCUUCUUGUUUACUUUUUAUUAUUGUUAUCUAGAAACAACUAGAUUUAACCUUCAUUCUUUGGUAACAAUUUUACGUUUCAUCUCUGUUGAAAAUAUGAGUCUUUAAAAGAGAUGUGGGCAUGGAAAUUACAGUUUGAACUCAUAUUCAUAGCAUAACAGGGUGGGGUGGGAUUUCUUGGUGUCUUGACAAAAUAUGGGUUAAUUAGGAAAUCCAUUUAAUAAUUAACUUAUUGAUAAGUUGAAGGAGUCAAGAAAGGCUUUAAUUACGUACAAAUCCAAAUUCCAUUUUCAUGAAUUUGACAGCUAACGCAGUAAUUGUUUACUGUGGUAAUCAUAAAUUAUGAUUUUGGUCCCAAAAAGAAAAGCCAUAUUAGAUCUAAUCACACGAUUAGCCUAUUUAAUCUUUUUUUUUUUGAAUAAAUUUAGUCUAUGCUUUGGCACAGUUUUCAAUAACUACUGGGGAUUAUUUCUUAGGUGUCAAUUUUGGCUUUCUUUCUUCAAAAGAUACCAAUAAUUGAAAAUUGAACACAACUUCCUAUUAAUUUUCCCCUUUAUUUUUCCUUAGUUGUCAAUCUUGGCUUGUAAUUAAAAGAUGCAGUAAAUAUAAAGCUUAAAUUAAUGAAAAGUGUGUUAUACCCAAAACAAAACAAAUAUUGUUAAAUUAGUUUUACGCUUUUAGUAUUUUUGUUAUAUUACUAAUAUUUUAAUAAUCAAACUUUCAUAUAAUAUUAAUAUAUCGAUAUGAUCCAGAUCUCAUGUUGGUUCAAAUUUUUAUAUAUAUGAUAAGUACAAUUAUAUUAAUAAUUUCAAUUGUUAAGUAAGUAAAAUAUUAAUUUUAUAAAAAAAAUAUAAAACUAUUUUAAUUUUACAUUAGUAUAAAUGGAUCUCACUUUAUUAACAUGUUUUAAUUUAAUGGUAAUAUUUAAAUUUUUAGAAUUUUGAAAUUUUAUUUUCAAAUCCAACUAUUUCAUUCCAAAUUCUUUGUGGUUUAUAAAUCUAUCCAAAUUAUUUUUUAUAUAUAGAUAAAAUAUAAUUCAGUUAUAAUAUUUAAUAUUGGUUGUAGUUAUUUAAAUAUACUACUUCUAAUUAUGAUUGUAAUUACAAUAUCUAAAAAAUUAUAAUAGUAGAAAAAAAUAUCAUCCUAAAUAUUUAUAUUAUUAAUAGGGCAAACUUUACAAAUGGUCACUCAACUAUGUCCGUAUUUCUGUUUUGAUCAUCCAAUUUUAAAAUAUUUCAAUUUAGGCACUAACAUUUGAAUUUGUUCCUGUUUUGAUCACCCAUAGUGAAAUUUGUAAUGGAAAGCCUUUUUUCUAACUAGUAUACUAAUACAUUUCAUCCACAAUACUUACAUAUUAUACCAAUUUGAGUCUAAUUCUAAAUAAUUCAAUAAAUUUUAUCUUUCACAUUUACAAAUUCUAUUAAUUUGAUUCUCAAACUUCCUAACCAAAGCUUUUAGUUAUUUAAAACAGAGGCAUUCUACAUCUAUAAAUUUGUAAACACCCCCACCAAAAAAAUCCAAUAAAACAAAUGGUAAGAAGCUCUAUAUUGGCAUCAAAGUAACCCAAUAAAACUUUUUUUUUUCUAAUUUACAAUUCUCAAACUUAAAAUUUUAUAUAUUAAUUUUUUUUAUCACUUAACCCAAUAAGUAAAUGAUUUGUAAGCAAUACAAUGGACAUCCCAAGAAAACAAAGACACCCUUUUAUAUCCCAUGCAAUAAAAUUUACUCAUGCAAUGCAUGGAUUAGAUGUUGUGUAUCAAUUAAAAUAUAUUUAAUCAUUUUGCAAUUUAUAGUUGUGAGUUUCAAGUGUUCUUUUAAGGAUAAACUAUACUGGUAGUUAUCCAACUAUUAAUAAAUUAAAAAUAAUUUAAUUUUUAAGGAGCAUACUUGAAUUCAAAAUUUAAAAUUUAAACUAUGCAAAUAAAAUGUUUUUGAAAUAGAUUAAGAAAAAUUAAACUUUUAAAAAGUUAAAACAAGUUUAUAAAAAAUUUAAACAAAUUUUAGAAAUACUUUUUAAAAAAAUAUAUAAAAUGUUUAUUACAAAUAGAUUUCAUAAAUAAAAAAUUAAUAGAUUUUAUAAACACUUUUUCAUAUAUGUUUAAUCUAAGAAAUUAUAUAUACCAUAUACAUAUAAUAAUGAUUUAAGACAUUAAUUUUAUCAAAUAAGACACUGAAUUACAAAAUAUAUAAAAUUAUUUAAACUUAAUUAGGAUAUCAAUUGUAAAAUUUAUACAAAAUCAUAAAAUAUAUUUAAUAUAUUUUUAAUUGAUAUAUAAAAUCAAAUUCAUGUAUCAAUUAAUUGAUAUAUUUAACUAUUAAGAUAAAUUGUAUGAGCUAGAUGUGUGUAUCAAUUAAAUUUAUUUUGGCAAUUUUACAAAUUUAUAGAUGUGGAAUGUUCCUAUUUUAAAUGUUGAAAGUUUUGGUUAGGAAGCUUGAUGAUCAAAUUGAUUGAAUUUGUAAAUAUGAAAGGUUAAAUUUAUAGAAUUAUUUAGAGUUAGGAUCAAAUUAAUAGAAUAUGUGUUAUUUUACCAUUUAGAAAAAUGCUUCCUGUUAUCAAAUUAAUGAUGGACGACCAAAACAUGAACAAAUCCAAACGUUAAUGCUUAAAUUAAAAAAAAAUGAAGCUGAGUGGCCAAAACAGAAAUACAAACAUAAUUAAGUAGCUAUUUGUAGAAUUUACCCUUAUUAAUAAUAAAAAGAGUUGAGGUUAAAUUAAGGUGCAGGAAAUAAAAUUUCAUACCCAAGGCUUGAUUUGUAUUUUAAAUGCAUCUUAUUUUUGGUCAGUGAAUAAUGUAAUAUUUUUGAGUCCUGCCGCCCAUGUCUUGUUCCUUUCUUUUGGGCAGUAAACCCUUAGUGCUUCCAACCUGGGGUAAUGUUGAAGAAUUCGACUGUAAAAAUCAUUCCUAUUUCUGAAAAACCAAAAACUGUAAAAUUGUUCUAACAGUAUUUUAAUAGAAAAGACUAAAUUAUUCUUUAAUUUAACUAAUUUAUUUAUAUUUUAAAUAUAAAAAAUAAAAUAUAAUCCAACUCUUAUUAUAAAAAUAUUUAUGACACUUUUAUCUUAGAUCUUAUUUUUAUUAAAAAUAAAAAAAAUCUGGUGCCAAUUGGGGUUCUAUUAUUUGGUAAAUAGAUCAAAUGUUUGGUAGGUAAACCUUUAUUUAAUUUUCGAUAAAUGCCCACCGACAGAGAAACGAUGGUAAACUUUGACUAAUCAAACUGUUGUUAUCAAUUUCAUUGAUAAGUGUUUGACUAAUUAAACUGUUGCUGUCAUGGAAUCCAAUUAUUUUUAUUGAAAAAAUUGAGCUGCUAUUUUCUUUUAACGUGGGGAUAAAGGAAUAAAAACUCCAACCUAUAAUUUAUCAUCAAUAAAUAUAAUUUUUCUCCAUAAAACAGAUGGAAUUGAUUAUUAUGAAAAGUGAUUCCAACUAUUCUGCACUAGGCUAACCCAUAGAAAUAUCAGUUACUCUUAUCGAAUGUAUAUUUUUUCUAUGAAAAUAAAUAAAAAGAAGGUAAUUUCGUGAAUUUCAAAAUGGAAAAAACUUAUAUCACACAUAAAUUUACUUUUAGUUUAUAUCUAAAAGAUGAUAUUAUUAAGAGUAAGAGUCAUUUUCAUAAAUUAUAAAUUUAAAAUGAAAAGGUACAACAUGGUUAAGCAGCAGGUAUUUUCAACCCUACAGCUUUUGAUAACGUUGCAAUAGCACUCUUAAAAAAAUAACAAAUAUGUUUGUCAUUUUAUGACACCAACAUGUUAUUUGUCAUUCUUCUGACCAGCAAGUUAUCAAACAAUUAACCAAAGCCGGAGUAACAUUUUUUAAUAGGUUAAUAUUUUAUAAUUCCGUUUAUUUUUUAUUUAAAAUUCAGUGUUAAUAAUAUAUAAAUAUUGAUAUAAAAUAAUAUUUUAAGCAAAUAUUCCUUUCGAAAUUCGAAUUCAACUUUUAAGAAACCUCUCUCUCUCUCUUUCUUGCUCAUCGAAAACCAUACACAUUGAGAAUUUCCAUGUUUAUUAUUAUUUUUCCAAGUUUUAUUAUUCAAUAUUGAUUUAGAGUGCGUACAAAUUUGAGUAAAGAAUAUUUAUUAUCUAAAUUUAUUUUAAUUUUUUAUAAUUAACAAAAUUCAAGUUAAUAUAUUCAAACUGGAUAACUAUUUAUAUAUUUAAAAUAAUUAUUUAAUUUUAUUUUUUGAAAAUAAUUUAAUAAAUUUUUGCAACACUCCAAAAUACAUAGGGUUAGAAAUUUAAUUAAUCGCCAACAAAUAAUUUAGUUUUGAUCGUUAUGUAGUUAGAAAAGUCUUUAAAAAAUCCUGGGUUUAAACUCUUUCUUCCCAAUUUCUUUCAUUUUUUUUUCAACAACUAAGGAACAAAAUUAAUCUAGUAUAGAUAUUAAAUGUGGUAGAAAAAUGUGAAGCAUGGAUAGUAGCCUAAUGAUUAAGCACUCUUUUUAUCCCUUACAUCCCUAGUUCAAAGUCACACCACUGUCCCUUCUCAUUUCUUUUUUGGAAGGCAAGAAAGGCAAUUUUCCCAAUCAAUCCUUUAAAAUUUGAAAACCUUAACUAUUUAAUCAUUUUUCCAAAUCAAAAUAAAACUCUAGUUUCCCUUUUCCAAUUGAACAAGGGUUUUAUUUUCUUUUUCCCUAUUUCUUCCCUUUUUCUUUUUCAUCUUCCCUUCUUCAAUUAUUUUCUUUACAUUGAUAGAAAUUUUAUUUUGAUCCUAAGUUUCAAAUCGAGCCUCAUUCAACCAAUCUUCUAAUCAAUUUAGUGUAACAUCAUUGAAUCUAGUAUUAAAUGUUGCCAAGAAUCGAUAAGAACAUCUCAAUUUCAACAUUUAGAUAUCACAAUGCCCAUAGGUUCUAUUUUCAUUAAUUUCGUUAAUACCCGAAAUCUUAUUUUUCCUUGAAGAUCGUUAUUAAUCUUUGCAUAUUUUUCGGUUGAAAGACUCGUUAUAGGUAUUCUAGAUCAAACUUGUAUGUAAGGAUUGCCGUUCAAAACCUCAAAAGUCAAAUGUGUAUUUUUUCACAAGAAAGUCAAGGCAAAAUUGAGCUUAGGAUAGACCAUAUGACUAGCCACACGGGUGUGUGGGCCGUCCGUGUGGACCGCACGACCACUAUACCUGGCAAUAUCCCCCUUGAAACCCUAGAUUUUUGCUUCUCACACGGCUUAGGACAUCCCACACAGCCUGCUACAAGAUCGUGUAACCUCUGUAGGUUGUAGUUUCAAAUGCCACACGACCACAGUCUCUCACACGGCCUAACCACAUGACCGUGUACCCCCUUCACACGAUCCAGGGGUUCCCGCACAGUCUCGUCACACGGCCGUGUGUCUUUUGUAACUCAGAAUUUAUAGUUUUGACCCAAAAUUUCCUAUUUUGAUUAGAUUAGUCAUUGAAUAUGUUAUGAACUACUUUUAGUGAAUUAAAUUAUGCAAUUAGGUCCAUGAUGAUAAGAAAUAUGCUAGAAUUCAAGAUUAAUUGAUUUAUUGCAAUAUUUUAUUUAUAUUUAUGAAUAUUUGCAUGAGAUAUGAAUAAGUUAUGUUACUGUUGAAUCUAUACUUGCAAAUGUAUGUACAACAUGCACUAUGAUAUUGUUAACCCAAAUACCUAAUAAAAUCGUGACUAUGUUACUGAUUUUCCAUGUGCUAGAACAUUAGAUACUAUCAUAUUUUGUUUGUAGUCAAUAUUUCAUAAUGUAUUGCAUGGGUUUGGACGAUACGUAUAAAGGAAAAUUAGACAAUCUUUUUGCAAGAAAAAUGGCGAUGUAAGUGACAACCAUGCUACAGUUCUUAUUUACAAAUUGUUGUGUAUCAAAAAUAAAAUGCUGAUUUCGACGACGAGUUUAUAUUGUAAAAUCUACAGCCAAAAAACAGGUUUCAUCUACAAGACUUUUGCUGUGAACCCACAACCAAAGAUGGAUUCUAACCACGGGGACUUGUUGUGUGUCUACAGCUUAAUGACAGUUAUUAUUUGUGAACCAGAAGUUGUUUAUCCAUAUAUCGAAAUGUUGGAGAAGGGAGUUCUGAGGAAAUCUUAUUAUGGUGUGUAGCGAUGGGGUAGGAUUUAUUCUGUUUAAACUCGAAAUUAUAUGGCAUCAUUUAAAUCAUGUGCAUACAAAUCUAAAAAUUAUUUUAUAAAUACAUAGGCGUGAAUAUAUAUAUGUACAUGAUUAUGAUUAUUGUGGGAAAAUCUGAGAAUUUUGGUUAAUUCUAAAAAUUGUUAUUGUGAGUUCUGGCAUAUUAAUGAUGUCAUGAGGUUACUUUUGUUCGGACGUACUAAUAACCGGUCAACUAAUUGCAAGGUUACUUCCGUUUCCUUAAGCUCUCCCAAACUUAGCCUCCUAUAAAUGAACAAUGGCAUGAGGUUGAUAAUGGCACCUAGGUUACGCAGGGUUUUCCCGAAACUCACUCCACCUAUUUCAACCGGAAUGGUAAAGCUACCAGGAUCCUUUAGUUUGGGCGGGACUCUUCUAGAUACCACCACACUUUUUUUUUUGUUAAGUGUAAUUUGCUCUUUUCUCCCUAUUUUCUUUCGAUGAAACAUAACUUCCCUAAAGAACUUGGUAUAUUUUGGCAUUUUCUUAAGGAUUUCAAAUAAGGAGAGGUUCAUGUUCAAAGAUUUAAACAUCUUGAGAAUGUCUAUGAACUUCUCAUCAUCCCUCUUCUUCCUCUCCUCUAAGCGACUAAAAAAGGGUACAGACCUUGGGGUAGGUGGUGGUGGAAUGAUUCUAUCAGUUUUGACUUGUGUGGGCAUACUAUUAGGUUUAUCCGUCUCGAGCACCCCGUCUCCAACACUAGGAAUGUAGAUGCUAUAGUCAUUUUCACUCACUUCCUUCUCCCCAUAGUUUGGUAAGAUAGGUUCCUUAACCACAGCCUUAGAUCUAAGAGUAAUUGCCUUGGUGUGCUCCUUUCCUUUUAUCUUUGGAAUAGGUUCAGUAUUACUGGGUAUACUAGAUGUUAAAUUAUUUUGCAACAGUUGCAAAACUUGGUCCGAUUGGCUAUUGAUUUGGAGCACAUCGGCUUGCCCUACAUGCAAACCUUCCUUUACCUUACUCACCCUAAUUGAUAAUAACGGGUCAUUACUAUUGGUUGGUUGCCUUUCUUAGUCUUGGGGUGCUCUAAAAGGUAAUGGAGGUUGGAAUGGUGUGUUAGGCUUUAGAAGGUUAGCGUUUUGGUCCCUUAAUUCAAUUGUCCUGCUUGGUUCUCUCCCCACCUCAGGUUAGGAUAGUCAUGCUACCCGGGGUUAUAAGUGUUGGAGUAAGGGUUAUCCUUUAUUCCUCACAUAAUUUACCUCCAUAUGGUUGAUUUCCUCAUCGUGUCCUACAUUAAAAUUAGUUAGAUUGGGUUAGUUUUGGAGUUGUACAUUAGUCGCACUCAUCUCCAAUUGGUUUAACCUUUUGAGGAUUUCUUGAUACUUAUCCUCGCCACUAAUAGUGUUUGCUGCCGCUUAUUUGGCUCGAUAUGUGAACAGCUCAGUCGACCACAUAUAAGAGUUCAUUGUCACAUCUUCAAUGAGUUGACAAGUCUUGGCAUAGGUUUUUGACAUGAAGGCUCCGGCAGAUGGUCUAUCAAGGCUAGAGCGUAAAUUCCUGUCAAGUCUAUUGUAGAAGACUUGAAGUUGCAGCCAAUCUUAUAAACCAUGGUACAGGCACUUGCACAACAUCAAUUGGAAGCAUUUUCAGGCAUCAUAUAAUCACUCUCCUUCCAAUUGUCAAAAAUUUGUAAUGUCUGUCCGAAGUUUCAUGGUCUUGCUUGGUGGAAAAUAUUUUGACAAAAAUUUGCUUGCUAGCUCGUCCCAGGUGUUGAUUGAAUCUAUUGGCUGUGAAUCUAACUAUAUAAAAGCAUCGUCAAUAAGAGAUAAAGGGAAUAAUCAAAGACAAAUAGUAUCAUCGAAUACCCUAUUAUACUUGAAAGUAUCACAAAUGGUUAGAAACCACUUAAAGUGUUAAUUUGGAUCCUCAUUCAUUGACCCUCGAAAUUAAAGGUUCGAUUGUAUCGUUUGGAUUAUCACCAACUUAAUUUUGAAGGUUUUAGCAUUAAUCAUUGAAUGAUUAGUACUACCUCGAACAACAUCUAGGUUUGGCAUCGGAUAGUCGCGUAAAGUUCUUUGCUCCAUGGGUGGUUGUGGUGGUUGUUGAAUUUCUUCUUGAGGAUUUUCAAAAGGUUUCUCUCUCAGUGGAAAAGGUAUGUUCUUGGAUGUUGUGCCCUCCUUGCGUGUGUGAUGAUAUGUUCCAGUUCCAGCUUAAAUAGUAAGAUACUAUUACUGGUCCAAGUCAUACAAUGUUCCUGCAAGCACGAGAGAUCAAAGAAAGUCAAUUAAAUUUGAAAAGAAAAUAAAAACAAUAGAAAAUAAGGUCAUAUCUAUAAAUCCUACUCUGACUACUUAUCUCUAACUAAAAGUGUACACUAAAAAUUACUUAAUCUUACACCAUUUUCCCUAACAACGGCGCCAAAAACUUAACCUACUGCACACGUGUGCUUUAAAACACUGAAUUUAUUAAUAAAUUUUAAAGCUUGGUUUUACUGCAAGCGUAUAGGUCAACUGUAAUAUUUCUAAUAUUAUAAUGAAUCACCGAAGUAUUCCAAGGAUUGAACCUAAAGGAAGAGGCGAUUGAGCAAUAACUAGUAUACACAAUGAAGUCUCAGUGGCUACUAAUAUGAUUUUAUAGUAUAGUAGUCCAUAAAAGAUUUUUGCAAGAAAAUUAGAUAUUUACCAUAAGGACUAAAUUGUAAGAAACGUAAUCUAGAGGGAUUAUCUAGCAAAUGACUAAUGGGGGUUGGUUGACUUCGAUGUGGUUCACCAAGUUUCAGACUCGGGAUAUAAAUCGCUUAAAUUACUAAGUGGCUCCAUCUUAUCUUUUGAUCUAAAUGUUACCAACUUAGAUGAAUUAGGCCAGCUUAUCUUCUAACCUCACUAGUUAAUUUAGGACUAACAAAUGGGUGCGCAACAAAAUUACCUUCCGACCUCACUUUGUCUUAAUAUUUUCUUAGAUGUGUCAAUACCCAAGUCCUUAAUUCUAUUCAAAUUAGUCUAAUUUAUUACGAUUUAGUCCUUUGUCCAAAUAGUUUAGUUUACCCACACCUCCAUCAACCAACCUCCUUAAAGAUUUAGCCACACAUGCUCAAAGUGAAGAAAAUAAACAUAGAAAUGGAAAACAAUGUAGCCAUGAAAGUAAAACUUGAGUAAAACAUAAAUGUAGAGAUUUUUAUGCAAUAAAACUUAAGUAGCAUGAAACCAAAAAUAUUUAAAAAAGAAAUCUAAAGCAAGAAACAUAAAAGGAACAAGAUUUAAUAGAUUUAAAGUAAAAUAAGCUUAAAUGCAUUAAAUGAAAGCUUAGAGAGUCUUGAAAGCAAAGUACAGAGGCUAGAAAUGUAAAUAAACCUUAGCUACAAUGUUAACCAACUUAACUAACAUUAAGAACAACAAGAACAAGAAGUAAAUGUAGAAAAAUAAACUCUAAUCUAAGGUAGAAGAAGAGAAAAAUAAAAACCCUAGAAAAAUUGUAGAGAAAAACUAAAGAAAACCUAGAGAAAACUAAACCUAAAUUGAAUUAAUGUGUGUCUCCCUCCUCCUCAGCAAUUUUUGGCUACUUCGAAGUGUAUUCUCAUGAAUAGUGUAUUUUGAUGAAUAUUUGAUGCCAAAAAUGCCCAUACAUGGGCCUUGUGUGAUUGGUGGGCUGGGUAGACAAAGGUUGCUCUUUUUGUCCAAGUUUUCCUCUUCAAGAAGGUGAUAUCGCGAUACCUAAAAAAGGAUAUGGUGAUAUCUCGAGCAUUGUUGAAACUUGAGGUCUUUCUUGUUAUGUGGAUAUUGCGAUACCCAAGGGGAUAUAAUGAUACAACUGAAGGGAAUCCUUGGUCUUAUAUACUGUCUGGGAUGUUACAAUUCUAAGGGUUGGAUACCCAAGAGGAUCUCGUUCAUUUUCAACCCUCAACCUCAACACAUCCCUACAGCAUUCAACCACACGUUAGGCCUUCAAAUGGUACUAGUAACCAAUUUGGGUAUAAAAAAAAAACAAAAAUGAGACAUUUUCACUAAAUAUCUGAAAAUAUGAAAAUAACAAAAAUAACAAAUAAUUAUGCUAGAACAUCUAUUUUGCUCGAGAAAAAGCUUUCAAGCAUGUUGAAAAAGUCUAAUUUGCCACGUCGAUUUGUGGCAAAUCACAACCUCACCCAAAAGAAACUAUCUCUAUAGCUAAGAAACAGAAUAAUGUGAGCUUCUCAUAUUGGAAUCAGUACAACAAAACAACCCUAAAAAGAAACUUCUGGGUCGACAGUUUCCUAAGUGUUGGGAUAGACUUGCCAAUAUAUGCUUUGGCCAACUCUUUGUAUAAGGGUUGCGAUAUGCAUGUCUAAGGCAAAACUUAAAUAACAGUCGGCUUUGUCCAACACUAUACCGGUACUUUUAGGCUGACAUUUUCCUAAGUGUUGGGAUAAACUUGCAGACAUACGCUUUGGCCAACUUUUUGUAUAAUGGUUGGGAUAUGCAUGCCUAAGGCAACACUUAAAUAAGAGUCGCCCUUGUCUAACACUAUGCCGACUUUUGUUAUACAUUUUUCAACUAUAUAAAAGCUUCGCCAUAUAAAAGCUUAACACAAAUGGUAUGAAAUGGCAUGUUUAUGAAUUAUGGUGUUUGAAAUGGCAUGUUUAUGAGUGUUUGAAUGAUGUGUAAAUUCCUUGAAUGUGUGCCCAAAUGGUAUGUAUGGUUAGGUAUGAAUUGAACUUGAAAUGACUUGAUUUUAGGUAAAUUUUUAGGUUCAUACGACCUGGGAUACGGGCUAUCACACAGUAGUGUGGCACACACGGCCUGGCGACACAACCUUGUGACCCUACUUAGUGAGUUACAUGGGUGAGGACACGGGCGGAGACACGAUUGUGUGGCCCUUUGUUCGAAUGUUACACAAUGUCACACGGCCGUGUGACCCCUAUUUUCUAAUUUUUUGUAACUUUUUCUUAAAGCUUCUAUUUUAUUUUAAAUUAGUCGCGAUUUACUUCUAAGCUAUUUUUAGGGUCUUGAAGGCUCGAUUUAGGGACAAAAUGCAUAUGAUUGAUUGGUUUAUUAUAAGUUUAACUUAUUGAAUGUUAUAACAUUAAAUGAUUUUUGAUUGAUUGGUAAUGCUACAUAAUCCUAAUCCGAUGGCGGAGACGGGUUAAAGGUGUUACAUAUUUCCUAAUUCUUAUCUCGAAUCAAACCUCCCAAAUCAAAAAUCAAAAGCCCUAAAUCAAAUCCUUCAUACUUCUUCAAUUCUUCAUCAUCAAUUUUGGAAGAGGUUAGGUUUCAAUUUAUAGAAUGAAUUUGUUUAGCUUUAGCAAUUGGGAAAUUGGGUGCAAUUUUAACUAGCACAGCUAAAGAAGAAGAAGAAGAAAAAGAAAAAAAAGAAGUAAUGGAUAUGUCUUUAAAAAGAAAAGUUAAUUCCUAGAGUACAUUAAAGGCUUCAAUUUGGAUUAAAACCAAAUUGUUUUUAUUCUCAAAUGACUUUAGGUCUUAAGUUUCGCUUGUUUUCUGGGUUAGGUUUCAAACAUUUUAUUUUUUUAGGUCCUAUUAAGUAGAAUUUGUAAACUAUACAAGGGUUAUUUUAAGACUUUUUAAACCAUUUUAUAGAAUAAAAUCAAAAGCAAUCUUAGGUUUUAUAAUCCAUGGAAUUUGUGAUUUUAUUUCGAAUAGUUGUCACUCCAUCAUCCUUUGGAUCCAUAAAUAAUAAUAAGAAAAUUCAUUGCAAACAUUGAAAAAGAUGAUACUGAAAUGCUGGUGGAUUUUCUAAUGUUUCUUGAAAUAUCUGGUGUUUCGGGUUUUGGGUCCCCUAUAGAGCUAAUCAGGAUGGUCCCAUAGUGUUGGUAAGAAGUUUCUUUUUUCAGUUGUCUUCAUAAUUAGCCUUAUUCAUUGUAACUUUAGUUCAUUCUUAAGUGGAUUUUGUUUCUUAACUUGUAGGGUUAGCGACACCAUUGGGAGGGCCAUGAUGACCACUCUCAUGGCCAUAGAGACAAGCAUCAGGUAUUGCUUUUCUUUUUAUGUGAUUGACUAACACGACUUGCUUAGUUUACCUUUUGUGUAAUUUUGCGUUUAUGAUAGCCAAGUUUAACACAAGUGAAAAGGGGUCAUUAAUUUGUUGAUGCUUGAAACCUUAAUUUUCAGUAAUUUGAGUUUGUUACUAAUCUUCAAGUUGUCACAUAAAGGUAUAUGGCCAUAGAUGUGCUUCAAGUCUAGAACUUGAAGGUUUAAUGAUCUAUUUAUAUUAGGCAUGUGAUUAAUGAAAUUUGCAUAUGUAUACACAAGAAUCAUUAUUAAAACAUGAAUAGAGAAGAGAUAAAUCUCAGACUCACAUCGACAUUAUUAUGAGAUAUUAGAACCUUUUAAUGGUUAUUUAUUUUUCCUAUUUUUUAUGUGUUUAUUGCCAAUAAAUAUGUGCAUAUAAGUGUGUUUAGAAAGAAUUAAGUAUGACAUGAACAAAACUUGUUCUCCAUUUUAAUGAUCAGUGACAUUGUGUUUAGUUGCAGCUUGAAGAAACUUAUUUGCUUAUGAGUACGUGGCACCAAUGCUAUUCCGAAAUGUCUUCUGUUUAUUUUCUUCAGUGUCAAUAAAAUGAUGGUGAAAUGGGAUUGUAAGCAUAAUUUAUUUGUUGUUCUUUCGGUGGGAUUUAUCGAUUUCAUUGUCUGCGAUAGUUGAUCAAGUACUCGUACCUGCUAAAUCGAGUUGAUGAAUGCAUAUUCUCUAAGGCUUGAACAGUUGUUUCUUUGACAUCUGUGUAGAUGUAAAAAGAGGAGUAACAAUCGGUCCAAGAGUAAGUCUAGGAGAAAUCACAUUGGGGAUAUUGGCUUUCAUAGAAUGGUUGUUGAAUUCAUUUGAUAUAAUUAUCUUAUUGCUUGCAGGCAUAUUCUUCUUGGCUCUAUAAUGUACCUUGGAAUUGUACAAAUGUUUGAUGUAUAUAAAGGAAAAGUAUGGGAAUCUAACUGUAAUUUUGUCUGAGAAUGGCAUGAUUUAGUUUAACUUAAUUAAAUUUAGUUUAAUGGCUUACUUUCGAAUUGGUUGGUAUGGUUUCUGACUUCUUUUACAUUUUUUGCAAUGAAUGAAUGAAUUGGUUGGUAUGUUUAAUGGCUUAUUUUCGUUACGAGAUUUACAGUUACCAAGUGAUGUAAUGGACAACAAGCUGACAACAUAUUGUGCUCAAUGUUACAAGAUUUGCUUCAGUCUUCCUCUUUGUCUUUUUUGGUACAUCCCAUUCACUUAUUUGCAAUACUUCCUCUCUCCAUCAAAGAACUCUCUACAGUAUGUUUCUAACAAACUACUUUGGAAGCAACUCCAAAUGGUGUACUUCAUCACAAGCUAAACAAUAAGUUAAUAAGCUGCAAUACAAUGUGAAAAAGAUGGAAAGAAGAUUUGAAGUUGGACAGGUAGAAGACAAAAGAAGAUAUGAUAAACUUAAUCAUAGCAUCUUGAAUUAAAGUUGCAAUUUCAGACUGUAUUAGCUUUUAUGUAAUACAACAUCAAUAUCAAUGUCCAUCAUCUUAGGUACUUUUUUAUUUGUUUACUUUUGUACAAUUUCUAUCAUUAUCACUGUAAAUGUGAAAAUAUAUUAAUAUUAAAAUAAUAAAAAAAAGAAAAAAAUUACAUUAGACAUGUCUAUCCCAAUAUUUUUAAGGUUGCCUUAGACGGGUCUAUCCCAACCUUUUUAAAAUUUCCUUAGACGGGUCUAUCUCAACCUUUUUAAGGUUGCCUUAGACGGGUGUAUCCCAACUUUUUUAAGGUUGACUUAAACGAGUUUAUUCCAACCUUUUUAAAGUCACAUUUGAUUAGGGCAUGAGCCAACAUUUUAAAAGUUGGCAUAUGAAUGCUUUAUUCCGACCUUUUUUUUCAUCGUCUAUUUCCUUCUAUCCCAACCUUUUUUAAAGGUCGGCCUUGACUAAGUCUUUGCCAACCCUUCAAUAAAGGUCGGCCUAUAUUGAAUUAUGCCUAGACCUAUGCCAACGACACUAAAAACGAUGUUUUUAGAAGCGUUAGGAGAAAGGUUAAGAUGACCUCUGCUAACCUUUUUUUGUCAUCUUAAGUAAAAAAAAAAAGUGUCACGGUAGGCCUAUUUUAUUGUAAUGAAUUUAGCAUAAAAUUGGUUUUGGGGAGAAAUUAGGAUUUUUUUCUUCACUUCAGAGGGAUUCAAACAUCCAGUCUUACUCUUAUUCGCAUGAAUUUCCUGAAACCCCUACUAAUUUGUUUCAUGUCAUAUUCUUCAAAAGAUCCAAUAAAAUUGCCUAAUUGCUUCGCUACUAUUUCUGAGAAAAACCUUGGAGGUAGAUUAUGCACUUGCACCUAAAAAUAAGAGUAUAUUAAAGGUAUAUGCAAUGGAUCUUCGUCCUCUAAUAGUCGACGAAAAAUCAAUAGAUGAUUAUUAAAUGUCUAGGGUGCUCUUUUUACCACUAUCUCAAAGUCUAGCCUAUUAAAGACUUUGAACAUAAAAUGUUUCUCACCCAAAUAUGAGAUCUGAAAACCCCCAAUGAGUGCCAAAAGUUUACAAGAGUAUUACAUAUAGCCAGAAAGUGUACCACACUUGUCGUCAAAAAACCCCAACCAAAUAGAAAUCAAACAUAAGUUUAUAUUCUUCAUUUGAUCCAUUACAUUACCACGCAUCAUCUUCUCCUUCCCUUAUGUUUAGCCCCUCAUUUCCACUCUCCGUAAUCAAAUCAAUGCAAAAAUAAAAAUAAAAAAAUUCAGUAAAAUUAAAAAGCAAAAUGCAUAACUAUAGGGAGAAUUUUUAAAAUAAAAAUCAUGAAAACCGAAAUGAUCAUAACAUUAGAUCAAAAUAAAAGGUUUUUAAGCCUUAGAUUUUGUAUUUAUUUUACUUUAUUAAAAUAAAACCAAUACCCAAUCUUUCCUUCUUCUUUUUUCUUUUCAUUUCAUAAUUGAAAUCUUAGAAUGAAAAAAAUUUGGAUAAUUUUUACUUUCAAUUUUUUUUUAGAAAAAAAUGGAAUGGAAAGUAAGAGAUUAGGGUUAUUAUAAGAUUAACAAUUUGUGUAUUAUGUAUUUGUUUUUCUUGAUUGAAAAAAUUAAUCGACCAUUUCAUUCUAAAAAUUUUGAGAUUUUUUCUUGGUUGAUAUCAAGUACUCAUAGAAUUUCAAGUAUAAAAAUUUAAAACUUACCUCGCUUUUCUUGUGAUAUACUUGAAGUAAAUGAAGAAAACAAUCCCAAAAGUUUUAAAAUGAAAUAGUUGAUCAAUUUUUUCAAUCAAGAAAAAGAAAACUUAAUAUCCAAAUUGAUUAAUUAACUUGAAUCUCUUGCUUUCCAUUCUAAUUUUUUUUUUGCUCCAGACAAAAUUAAAUCUAAAACUGUAUUUUAAUUGCAUUGAAAAAAAAAUAGAAAAAGAUUGAGUAUUGUUCAUUUUAUUUUAAUAUAAUAAUAUAAAUACAAAAUUUAAAUUUAGAACAAUUUAUUUCAAUUUAAUAAUUAAAAUCAUUAAAAAUUGUCAUAAUAUUUUUUUGUUGUAAGCGGUACAACUAUGAUCCAAUCAAUUAAUUGAUAUAACAUAGUAUUGUAUCAUCCGCAUAUAAUAAUAACCAAUGAUGUGAUUUUUAUGACAUAAUAAUAAUAAUAAUAAUAAUAAUAAUAAUAAUAAUAAUAAUAAUGUGUUUUCCUAGGAAUAUGCCAUUGAAGAUGCCAUGUAGGGAUUAAAAGUUGAUAUGAUAUUUAGAAUAGUGAAUGGGACAGCCAGAUCACUCUAGACUUAGAUACCCUUUUUAUUUAGUUAAUGGAUGUUUAUUGAAAAAAGUUUAAAAUAUUGUUAUAAAAUAAAUAGUUAAAGUAAGAGCGUAUUUUAUUAAUCAAUUGAAAUAUUUAUAAAUUUUUUUCUAAAAUUUUUAUCUAUAAACAUAAUAAAUAUAUAUGAAAUAGAAAUCUGAUUCUAAUGACUAAUAGAAUUUAAAGUGUUGAAACUUUUUUUUUGGUGUUCGACUUUUAUUUUAAAAUAAAAAUGGAGUCGCCACCAAUAUUUUCAUUAUGUGUAAUCAAAUCAUCUCGUAAUUUAAUCAUUUUCAUAAAAAGUUAGAUUUACUAAAAAGAUGAUUUUCAAUCUACAAAAUCCAAAAAGUUGGUUCGAGAGUCAGUUAGCAUGAGGAAGGAUUAGCACCCUCAUAACACCCAAAAUUGGUACCUAGUUGAUUACUUGAUUACUUAGUUUCGAGAAUUGAGAAUUCAAAAAAAAUUUAAAGUACGAUUCUCUUAUUUUGCAUGAUAUUAUUUGAUUAAAAUAUCGCUAAUUAAAUUAAAUUUUAUGGAAAGAGCCUUCUUAUUUUGAGUUAAUCAAGAAAAAAAGAUCAUGUCCCGUAAGUUAGAACACGAUAUCUCGAAUCCUCGAAAACAAUAAUACUCGUCAUUUGAUUAUUAUCUAAGUCCUACGUGUCUUGAAUUUUAAAUAGGAUGUUUGGUUAUUUCGGUUCUAGGAAGAGGCCAUACUCCAUAAGUUAGGAGACGACUCCUCGAAUCUCGAAAAUAACGAACCUUACCUUGAUUUUAAUUAUUUUUAUGAGCUUACGCAGAAAAAUGGAUGAAUGUAUGUAGCAUAAUUUACAAUGUACAAUGAUGGCAAAAUUAUGGUAUUAACAAAAUAAAAUAAUAUUCAAUAAAAUAAUGGCAAAAAAAAUAAAAUAGCUACAUAGGUACAAACAAAAUAACAUCACAAUGAAAUAAUAAAAAAAAUGAUUGUAGUAAAGGUAAUGAAGGUAUAAUAGUAAAUGACUAUAACAAGAUAAUAAUAAUAGUAAUAAUAAUCAUAUCUAAUGACAAAAAAAUAAAAAUAAAAUAAAAAAUAACUACUCGAGAUGUAAAUAAAACUGCAAUAUUUAGAGAGAGGAAAAUAUAAAUAAUCAUAAAAAUAAAAGUGUUGGAAAUAAUAAAAUAACAAAUAAAAAAUAAGUAGGCAAAGGACUAAAUUGAAAGCUAAAAGAAAUUUUAAACAUAAAUUAAAAAAAAGCAAAAAAAGGAUUAAAUUAUAACAAAAUAAAAAGUACAGGGACUUAAUUAAAUAAAUAGGGGACUAAAUCAAAAUUAUAACAAGAUUUUAAGGUAUAAAUAAAUAAAACAAUAAAUAAAGGGUUAGAUUAAAAUAUAAUAAAAAUGUAGGGACCAAAGCGGCAAAUAAGCCAACCCCAAUACACAUGUCACUCCUAAAAGGGUUAAUAGUCUGAUGACCAAAAUGAAAAUAAAUUGAAAUUAAAUGGCAUAAUUUUAAAAAAGAAGAAAAACCAAAAUUAGGACCAAACUAAAAAGUGCCUAAAGGCGGAAGGACUUGGUGACAAUUUGACCCCUCCUUCAAAAACACACGAAUCCUAGAGGAUCUGGGUUGGGUCAUCGAGUCAUGUCCAAAACGACAUGGUUUUGGGACUUCUAAAAUCAAGCCAAAACGACGUCGUUUCAGUAAGCCUAUAUACGUUAAAAAAUAUUAAAAAAAUAAUUCUAAACCUUUUUUUUAAUUCUUUCUUUUUCUUUAUCUCUCAAGCUCUCCUUGGUCCGACCAUGGGAGCCGCUGUAGCUUCGCCGUGGCUACUGGUUGUCGGCGACCGCCACCUCCAGUGGCCGAAAAAUCUCCAAAAUACCCCAUUUGUCUCCCUUUUUCACGUAGAACUCUGAUUUGGGGUUAAAAUCUCUAAAAGUUUAGUCAAAAUUCAACAAAAACAAGAGAAACCUUUUGGUUUCUUCUCCCUUUCCGACACGGCCUUAGGCGAACCCCUAGCGAUUCGGAAGCCUUUUAAGCCAGAAGGGAACACCGACGGUGGUUCAGGUAAACAAAAAAAAGAGUCUUUUGUUUUAUAUAUAUAUGUAUGUUUUUCAAAAAUAAAAAUUAGUAAAUGGGACAACUUUUUUAAAACUUUUUUUUUUGUAUUUUAUUUCUUCCAUAAAAAUUACAAAGAGUUUUUGUUUGGCUUUUAUAGCCAAAUCAAUUACAAAAUAUUAUUUUUCUUUCUUUGUUUUUUUUUCUUUUGCUGUUUCUCUGUUCUCUGCUUUUGUUUUUUUUUGUAGGUAUUCGUGGCUAGGUCAAAGGCGAUGGGAAGCCACGGUUUGCCAUUUCGGUCAAAUAGUAGCAGAUGAGGUGUGCUUGCUGACAUGACAGAGACGACGGCUGGAAAGGCUAAAGGGAAAACAUCACUUAUUUAAUCCCAAAACCAAUUAGAAUAUCAAGAAAAAAAACUUAAAUUUGGAAUUAUAGAAAAUGAAAACCCCAAAUUUGUAACAACUUUCUUUGAUUACAAGAAACUACAACAAUGGGAUCUAAUCUACUUGAACCAUUAACUCCUAACCCCGAUCAACCAACCCAUUCAAUCCUUCAAAAUACCAAAACCUUAAACCCUAUGGUUGCAGAAAAUGAUUUGGCAAAGAACCAAAUAUCGACCACCUUGGCUGUAAUAGUCAACCCAUCAAACAUAGGAAACCCAAUAUUUCAGAUUUUUAAGGUCAGUAUUUUUGAAACCCAUUUGAGAGAUCUAAGCUAUGAAGAAGUUUAUCAUACCAAGGAGAAGCCAUUGUUGAAGUUCCAAGAUGGUUCAGCAAUCGGAACUUUAGAUCAACGUUAGAGAAAUUCAAAAGUUGAAGGCAUUUUUGUGGCUUUUGGAAAAUUUCUGAGAAAUCUAAUCAGAGCAUUCAAAAGAAGGAAUGGAGAGCAACAAUUAGGUGCCACUUUUGGGCAAAAAAAAAAGCAGCCAAUCAUGGUGGUGUGGGCUAGGUGUUGGCUAGGGUUGAGAGAGGAAGAAUAAGAAAAGAAGAAGAUGAGGAGAAAUGGAGGAAGGAAAGAAAGAAAUCUAAAAAAGAAAGAAGCGAGGCGGUAUCAUUUUUAUUAUUUUUGUAUAUAUUUUAAAUUUAUUAAUCAUUUUUAAUUUAAUUUUUAAAUGAUGACACCAUUUUGAUGUCACUAAUGACAUAUGUCGUUGUCUGAUACUGCCACCUGUUUGAGACUAACGGUGUUAAUAAAAUGUACCAAACUAGUUGAUGAAGAAAAAGUUUGGGUACCAAUCUGGGACAAAAAAAAACCCUUAAGUACCAAUCUAAGAGAAGUGGACAAAUUCAAGUACCAAAUUUACAUUUAGCCAUUUAUUUAAAAUGAUACAUUUUUAAAAAAAAUAACAAAAUUUUUAAUUAAUAAAUAAUUUCUUAUUUAAUUUGUAAUAUCCCAAAAACCAGGUUAGAAGAAAUUGAAUUUUCAAACAAAAAAUGGUCAUCCCUCGAUUUGAGUUUAGACUUUGAAAGUUUUUUACAAGUAUAUUGAUCUGGUUUAGUGGUUAAGUGUUCUGGGUAUGUGUGUGAGGUUCUAGGUUUGAAUCCUAUUCCUGGAAAUUUUGUUAUUUUGCUUAAACUCUUACCUUUGAACGUUGGUUUAUAAGUUAAACUCAUUCAAUUAAUGUUAAGAAUGAGUCUGCUGAUUCAAUGGUUAAGUUUCUGUAUGCUAUUGGGUCUUAUGUUCAAAUCCCGAUGAAAGCAAUAGUUAAACUCAUUCAAUUAAUGCCAAGAAUGAGCUUGUUGGUUUAAUGGUUAAGUUUUUGUAUACUAUUGGGUCUUAUGUUCAAAUCCCGAUGAAAGCAAUAGGAAAUGUUUUAUUUUUGCAUUUUGUUGUGUGGUAGUUAGCUUCAGUUAGUUAGUUAAAACCUCUGGUAAGGUUUUCCAUUUUUAUUCUUUCUUUUUUUCCUGCCAUGGUUUCUAUCAUUCUUUUCCUGUUAUUUAAUUUUUUCGUUUUGGUUUCUUACUUUCAAAGUGAUCUUUCUUUUUGUUACGUUACGUUGCACUGAUUCUGUACUGGAUCUGACUUCUCCUUUUAGUUUAAUUCGUUGGUCGGUAAGUUCAAUUUAAAGUUUUGGUAUCGAAAGUUCUUCGACGUAACUUCUAUUUUGGAAUGUUAUUUUUUAGCGAUUUGAGUGCGAGUUAACCGUUUGUUGGACAAUUGUUUGUCGUUUGAGGACGGGAACUCAUCCUUGUUGUUUUUGCUUCAAAUCCGUAUCAGGUGGGUAUUAAAAACCCUUUCUUCUUCGAAUUUUAGUCUUUGAAAAACGAGAUUGUCGACACCACACGACUAUGUGCUAAGCCGUGUGGUACACCGUGUGAGCCACACGGCCGUGUGGUAGGCCAUGUAACUUACUGUUCACAAAAAUUGGAGGCACAUGAGCUAGGCAUACAGGCGUGUGCCCAGAUCGUGUGUGUAGUUGAAUUGUACAGGAUUCGCACGGGCCAGUGACAUGAACAUGUGUCCAGGCCAUGUCACUCACUAUUUGUGAAUUAGGACCGCACGGGCAAAUGACACGGGCAUCUGACAAGCUAUGUGGGAAACACGGGCAAGCACACAGGCGUGUGCUAGACCGUGUGAAGUCACACGGGCCAGUUCUCCAAGCUGUGUGAAACCACAUGGGCAUGUGAAGCGAUAUUUGGAAUUUUUGGCUCGGGCCACAACCGUCGUUCGAAACGAAUGCAGGCCUACUGUAGUGUCUGUAUGAUCUAAAUUAGACUGUAUAACUUGAUAUCUGAUGAUCUAACGAUAAACAACUUGGGAAUAGUAUGUAUGUCUACUAUGUUGAAUUUAAGUACGUAGGAAUUGUCAAAACGUAGUGUGCUAUUGUAUAAUGUAUGCGAAUUAUCCAAGUAUGGUCUGUAUUCUGUUAAGUUUGCUGGUACGCCUCUGCGUUACUCUGUUGAUGAAGAAUGUGUAAUAGUUGAAUAUGUUAGAUUGAUUGUUACUAAUUCUGACUCAUAAUCGUACAUGUGACUUCAUGGUAAAUCUAAUAUGAUUUGUUGAGGUUUGAUAAGUCUAUCUUACAAAACAUGAAUUCCCAUGUUUACUAAUUCUUUUAUUGAAUGAUAACAUGUCUUACAUGUUUAUCACUCCAAUUCUGUAUUUGCAUGCCAUGGCACAUUGCAUGGGAUUUGAGUUGAUGUGAAAGGAGGAAGUUUCUGGCAGUUUAAUGAUCUGCAUUAUCUAAUGGGUAAUCCACAAUUCUAUUUUGGCAUCUCGACUGUAAUAUAGUAGUUUGACCACAUAUAUUUGGUUUAGUAGUUUCAACUGCAAAUAUUCUGGUGGCAUUGUCCACAGUUAUCUAUUGGUGUGAUCUGACUGAACGAGUUUUGGGGGAACUCUAUUUUGGUGUGUAGCAGAGUUGGGUAGGAUGUUUUCUAAUAAAUUUGCAUUCUAAUCUGUUUGAAAAAUACUGCAUCUGCGUAAACAUACAUGCUCUUCUCUGUUGUGUUCCGUCCUGCUCUGUUCUAUUCUAUUCGGUUAUGAUUUGUUUGAUUUGUUUUGUUCUGCUCUAUUUUGUUUUGCUUUGCUUUGUUGUGUUGCACUACCUUUGUUGAAAUCUUUAUGAUACUCUAUAUCUGUUCCGUAUUGGUUAUACAACUAUUAUUAAGUUCUUUGCUUUACUACGAUUUAUAUAUUACGCUCUGUUAUUUAUAUUUGAGUUUGGUUCUACGUGAUGUUUGGUAACUCACCCUUUGUCUUACCUUUAUCUGUUUAAGAAAACAUCUAAUUUAGGAUCGGACGAUGUACGAGAGCUCAGAUUGUUUUACACUGAAAUAACUACGAUUUAAUCUUUUGGGUUUGUAAUAUGUUUUGGACUUGCCUUUUUUAUUAUAUAUAUAUAUAAUCCCGUCAGUAUUUGCCAAGUUCUAAAACGAAACUACAAAAUCACCUAAAUCAACUAAAAUGAAUUUUUGAUUUUCAAAGUUAAAACCCUGAAAAGGAAUCAUUUUUUAAUACAUUAGUGUAACCUUUCGUGAUUCGACUUAAACUUUUAAGUUGGACAUAACUUUUAUUUGAAAGAUAUAUUUUUUUACAAGACUAUAAAUCAAAAUUUUAAUAAGCAUUUAAAUAAAUUAUUUUUAUUAGUUAAGUAUUAAAAAAGUCAAGUACUUUUUUCAAAAGAAAUAUCGAUUAAUUUUUUUUUUGUAAAAAAUACACUCAAAUAAAUUCUUACAUGUUAAAAAUGCAUCAAUUACUUUGGCUAACAAUUUUUAUAAUUAAUUGUUACUUUGUUUAUGCCACUAAUAACAAUCCUUGAGUCAGCUAUUCUGCUAUUAAUGUCAGUCAAAAAUAAAAAAUUCAAAAGAAAAUAAAAAUUAUUGAAAAUAUUCAAGUUCAUAAUGAAUUUAGAUAUAUGGGCAUUCAAGUUGAUUUAAAUAUAAAUAUUCAUUUGUCUAGAUUUAUUUUAGAUGUAAUUUUUUUAAUCAUAAAAUUUUAAAAUAUAAAAAGAAAUUAUUAAAAAUUUAAAAUAUUAUAAAAUUAUAAAAAGAAGGAGAAGUGGUGGAUACUUUUUAAUUUAUCAUUUCAAUAAAGGAAAAAUAUAUGAUGCAUCGACGAUGCAUAAGUUUCAUCCAUCAUAGUGAAUAAUAAUAUGACAUAUCAUCAUUAAAUUAAACAAAAAAUAUGAAAGAUUUGUAAAUAAAUAUUAAUAAUUUUUAAAUAUAAUUAAGCAUUAUUCGUAACUAUUAUAAAUAAAUAUUAAUAAUUCUCGAAUUUAGGAUAUUAAGUUUAUGGGUUUAGAUUUCAAGAUUUUAACAUUUAUUUAUAACUAAUUAUUAUUUAAUUAUGUUUAAAUAAAAUUAUUAGUAUUUAUUUAUAAGCCCUCCAUUAUUUUUUUAUUUAAUGAUGAUGUGUUAUGUUAUUAUUCACCAAUAGUACAUGGAACUUAUGCACCGAUAGUGCAUCAAAAAUUCUUUCUUCAACAAAAAUAUAUGUGUUUUUUUUUAUAACAACUUUUUAUAAUUUUUUUGUUAUAUAAUAUUAUUUUUCUCUUGUAUCAUGGAUAUGUCAUAGUCUAGUAAAGAAAUUAAAGUCUUUUGAAUUGACAAUGAAAAUUUUAUCUCUAUACUGUUUACUUUUUUUUUUGGUCACUAUGACUCUUAACUUCAAAAUUUUAAUCAAAUUGUUAUUUUUAGAUGAAAAAAUUGAUUAAAUCAUAAAAUUUUAACGACCCCAACUUUACUACUUACAUAAUAAUUCACAAAUAUUUCAUAAAAAUUUAAAAUAAUAAAUAGAAAUUAAUAGAAACUUUAAUAAAUUAAAAAAUUCUUAAAUUCUUAAAUAUUAAUAUCAGUAAUGCCAUUAAAAUUUUAAAAAUUAAACUAAUUUAUUUAUAAACAAACACCUAAAUUUUGAAAGUUGAGAUUAAAAUGAUAAAAAGUUAAACCAAAAUAUAAAAUAAAUAUUUAAAAUUUUUUUUGAAAAGAAUUUAUUAUAAUAUCUUUAGUAUUCGCUGGCAGUAUCUUCUCAAUCGAAAGUAAAAAAAAAAAAAAAAAAAAAAAAAGCAGUCAUAACUAUUUCACUCUUCCAGUGUAAGAUUUUGCGUAUAAAUUUUGCGAAGUCCAAUCAAGUCAUAGGAUAGUAAAUCAAAACUUUAUUUUAUACAAAUUUGGGCACGAUUACCAUGCACAUGGAAUUAUAAUCAAUGAUGUGAUUUGUUCUAUAAAAAAUAAUAAUGUCAUUUCUAUGACCAUAAGUAAUAAUAAUGUGCCCUUUUAGGAAUAUGCCAUUGAAGAUGCCAUCAAAGAUCAAAAGCUGAAAUGGUAUUUAGGAUGGUGAAUCGGCCAGAAUAAUCUAAACCUACAAACCAUUUUUAUUCAGUUAACGUGGGCAUUUAUCGACAUCCAUUAAAAUAUAAUAUUGUUUAAAAAUAUGAAGUCUUUCUUUUAUAAAAAUUAGAUUUAUCUCAUUCUAUAAUUGAAAUUAUAAAUAUAUUUAUAAUUAAUACAUUCAAAUAAUUAUAUUCAUAAUCAAUUAUUCAAUGUAUACUAAUUAAAAUAUAUUCGAAUUUAAAUAGGCAAUGUGAAAAUCUCUAUAUUAAGAGUUAGAUUAUAUUUUCUUUUUUUUUAUUGAAAAAGAAAAUAAAUUAGUCUCGAAUUGAUUUUUUAGUUAAAAAUUUUAUCUAUUUCUAUAGUUAAAAAAUGGUAUGAUUGACGAAAUAACCAAACAGUUACAUAUGGCGUGCCAUGUGUACUUCAUAUCGAUAUACAUGAACUAGUUUUUAACAUUAGAAAUAGAUAAAAUCUUUAAUUAAAAUGACCAAUUUGAUCUUUAAUUUAACAUAUAAAGACUAAUUUACUCAAUUUUAAAAUAAGUUAAAUAAAAUACAUACAUGAUAUUAAAUAAAAAUAAAUUUAAAGAAAAACUGAGUGUAACCCAAGCUUCCAAAAUGCUUAAAAGAUUGAAGUGGAAAGGAAUUAUGAUUGGGCUCUUAACUUGGUUAGGUUGUUGCCCAAUUAGUUUCCUACCCGCCGAAGUAAACAGAAGGCAAUUAUAGUUUGUUAAGCCCAAUGUUUGUAUGAGUCCCUCCAGCUAAAAGGCAUGGAAUCUCUCUCAUUCAGACACAUGAUUCAAUAAAUUACAAUGCUCGCUUCACUAUUUGUUGAAACUGGAUCAAUCAUAUAUUCAACCCUAAUGUCCACACUUCUUCGCCAACAAGGAGCAUUAUCCCAAGCCUAUACUCUUCUGUUUUCAUCAUUCAUAUAAAUACCCCUUUCACAUUACCAAUUUUAAAAACAAACAAAUUCAUCUUUCUCAAUAAAAAUUAUAAUAUUUAAAAUAUUUAAAAAUUCUAAAAUUUAUAUAUAUUUAAAAAAUCAUAACUUUAAAUUAGUUUCACCCCUUGAUGACCCAUGGUGGCAUCUAAAGUCUAACAACUCAUCAAUUUAUAAAUCCUUCCUUCUUUAUAUAUAUUGUUAAAAUGUUAAAUAAAUCUUUCAAAAAUAAUUAGUAAAAUUAAUUAAGCUCCUUGCAAAAAAAUUGCACUUAAUUAAGCCUUUAAAUCAUUAUUUGUACUUAAUUAAUAAUUCGUCAACUGUUAUACCAACACUUAAUGGCCCGUCAGGGGCUAAUGAAUUCACAUGCUCAAAUUAUGUAUUUUUUGGUGAGGGGCUUAAUUACUUUUUGUUUUUAAAUUAUUUUUAGGGUUUAUUUGAUAUUUUAACCUUUUUCUUUUUACAAUUUUUAAUAAUUUUAGAAUUCUCAAACUACUUACUUUUAUACGAAAUACAAUUUUUUUAUUAACGAAAAUAAAAUUAAAAGCUUAUAUUCAUGUAACAAAUCUGACGUGGAAAACUGUUCCAUAUAACUAGAAAACAUCCAACUUUUUUGUUAAUUUGAUGUUUAUUUAUUUUUUAAAUAAAAAAUGAAUUUGACCCUCAAUCUUUCAAAAAUUUGAAUUUUUUUUAAUGAAAAUACUGAUUGAAACGUUUAAUUUUUAGACAUGGUGACCUACAUGGCAAUCCAUACUUUCUUAUUGUUAAUUUUGUUGAAAUUUUAUGAACUUUUAAUAAUAUUUUUAAAACUAUUGGAUUGUUAUUAAUUUAUAAAUAUUUUUAUAAUUUUUAAAUUAUUUACUGAUGUGACACAUAAGAUAAAUAGUGUCAUGUAAUAUGAAAUAUAUGUGAAUUGCUACACCGAUACCAUUAAAAAAAUUAAUAUUUUUGUUAUAAAACUGGUUUAACUCAUUUUAAAAAAAGUUAGAAUUAGCUAGAAAGAGGGGAAAAUUAAUGAAAAAUAAUUAUGGCUAUGUUAAUAUUUUAAGUAUUUAUGUUAACUUGGUCAGAUGGUUAGCAAAAUUAGCUUUCCCACCAACUAAAGUGCUUGAACUUUGGGUGGAGAUUAAGUCCAAGAAACAUUAUUCAGUAAAGCCCAAAAUAUAGAACAAUCAUGUAUUCAACCCUAAUGUAUUUUGUUGUGGUAAGGGAAUCCAAUAUUUAUCAAAUUUAGAUAAGGGUGGAUUUGUAUAAUUGUUUGUAAUUAUGGAUAUAAUUAGUGAAUUUUGUUAAAUUGAAUAUAAUUAAAGCACAUCAAUCAAAAGUGAUUAGACGAACAAUCACAAAACAGCUAGAUUCAAAUUUAGUUAUUUCGUGAAAUUUUAGAUUUGUUAAAAUUGUUUUUAUAUAAUAAUAUUAGCAUUUGAAUUAAAUAGAGUGUUAUUAUUUAAAUUUAAAUUUAUAAAUUAAAUUAAUUGCUGUAUAUGUUAAAAUAUGAAAAUAUUUACUAAAUAAAAUUUUUAGAAAUAAAGCAGAUAUAGAUUCAGAAUCUAUUAUUUACAAAAGCAUAAUAAAUUCGAAUAAUAGAUACUCAAAUUAUAAUUUAUCAAAUAGCAAUAUAUCACAAUUUAUAAACUAAUGAAUGAAUUUGUAAGAUUAAAAGAAAACCCCCUCAUUCCAAACUUUGGGAGCUGACAAUGGAGGUAGGACAUGGAGGAUCAGCUAUAUUUACAGUCCCUUCCAGCAUCAAUAUAACCUUCUUCAUUGAUGGUCUCGAUGAUGGCUCAUCUUGCGUGCACCAUAGCCCUACCUUAACCACCCUCUCUAGCUUCUUCUUAUCCACUUCAUCUUCAGGCACUAGCUUGUUCACCUCAUUAGCCUUGAAACAAUCAUACACCCAAUCCACAAGCAUUGCUUCAUUGUCCGGUACAUUCGUUUCCGUUCUUCGACGACAACAAAUGAUCUCGAACAACAUUACUCCAAAGCUAUAUACAUCGGCUUUCGCAGUUAUAGGCAUGUUUCGAUGCCACUCCGGUGCAACAUAUCCCCUUGUCCCUCUUAUCUCUGUAAAUGUCUUGCUUUGGUUAGGCAGUAGUAGCUUGGCCAAACCAAAAUCCGCGAUUUUCGCGUGCCCUUUGUCGUCCAUCAGUAUGUUUUCGGGUUUGAUGUCACAGUGGAUGAUUUGGAUGUGACAUUCUUCAUGUAAGUAAAAGAUCCCUCUAGCUAUGUUCAAUAUGAUUGCAAGUCUACCUUCCCAAUUUAUCUUUAAAUUGGACUUAAAGAGAAAAUCUGCAAGUGACCCAUUUUUCAUGUACUCAUACACCAAGAGCCUAUUCGUCCCAUCAUAGCAAUAACCAAGUAAUUGAACUAAGUUCCUAUGAUGAGUUUUCCCAAUUGCUUUCAUUUCAUUUUUGAAAUCUCUUUCUCCAUCAUCCACCACUCUCUCUAGUCUCUUGAUUGCUAUGAUCCGCCUCCCGUUCGAUAUGAUUCCUCGGAAAACCGUCCCAUACGCGCCUCUACCGAUGCUAUCCCUGAAAAUUGUUAGUUGCACUCUUUAGCUCUUCAUAUGUGAACGAUUUCAAUGUGACAUCCUCCACAAAUCUAGCAUCUCUUUGGUCAGAAAUCCUUUUGUACUGUUGAAUCCGAUGCCGGUAUAUAAUAACACCGGAGAGCGCUAAAACGAGAAACGCGACCGUCAAAGAUGCAAUUCCGGUAAUGAAAAAGUCCAUUCGGAGUUUACUCUUUUUAACUCGGCCUUCGUGUAUUGUUUGAAAACCGGUUACCAUUUUCACGAACGUUGUCACUCUGCCUCCUGUUCCUCUUCUCCCGAAUCUUAAUGGUAGUUUCAACUUGUGGCAAACUUGCUUUAAGUUUUUAUAUAUGGCAACUUCACAGUUACAAUCUCUUCUACAUUCUUCUCUGCAAUCGUCUUUGGAUAUUGAUUCGAACGUAGCAUAAGGAUCUUCUUCCCAAGACAAACUGUUCAUAUCUUGAACAUCUAAGUUUUGAUCCUUUCUGAUGUAGGCAUCUUCUGAAUAAUUUCUUCUGCAUCCUGAGUCAGUCCAGUCCGGGUCGAUGAAAUCGAACCCAGGGAGACAUUUGCAUAUAGGAUUCCUAUCCAUCAAAGUACAGUAACUAUUCACACCGCACAAGCCAUAGGGAUUACACUUAUUCUCAGUGGAUGACCAUCGAAUGGACCAAUUACCAGAUUGGUUAGAACUAUGUGAAUACACCCGAAAUAUACCUUCCGCAUCGAUACUUGCUCGGUGGAUGGGGUCACGAGAGACGCUAACGGUCUCGGUAAAGUUUUUUAUAAUGAAUCCGGUAGCAUUCAGGAGGUAAAGAUGACCAUUAUUGUCAAGAUUCAUGGUCACAUUAUCUCCCGCAGUAAAUGCUCCAGCACUCCAGUAAGCAGUAUUAUGUUUUACUGCACCCAUUGGAUAUUGCACCAGGUUCCCAUCUGGCUGCAUCACGAUUUGAAACUUGCCACUCGUAUGAUUCGCUUCGGAUACAUCGGAAACCAGCCGGUGACCGGGGGAAAGCCGCUGACCGGGCAAAAUGGUGUCUGUUAGGUAAUCAAAACUCUGCCAUAUGAUCUCUGAACUUGAAUUUGUUGAAAAAAAUUUUCACUUACUUGUUUAAUACACAGAGUAUGUUUACAUUUAUAGACUAUUUGUUUAACUAACUAACUAAUCUUGUAACUGCCUAAUUUUGCUAACUACUAACUACAUUAACUUCUCAACACUCCCCCUCAAGUUGAGGGUUGAUAUAUAUCUUUAACCCCUAACUUGGAUACUAAAAACUCAUGUUGUUUGAUGCUCAAGGCCUUUGUCAUCAAAUCAGCAAGUUGCUCGGUUGUUCUAAUGUGCUGCAUCUGAAUCGUUCCAUCCUUGAUUUUAUCUCUUACAAAAUGGCAGUCAAUCUCUAUAUGCUUUGUCCGCUCAUGAAAAACGGGAUUAGCAGCAAUUUGCAACGCUGCUUUACUGUCUGAAAGAACCAAUGAUUUAUCAAAUUGAUUGGGACUAACUUCUUUCAAUAAACUGUUCAACCACACAACCUCUGCUACAACCACUGCCAUACUUCUAUACUCCACUUCUGCCGAUGAUCGGAAAACUGUGGUCUGUUUCUUUGACUUCCACGAAACAAGGGAUUCUCCAAUUUUUAUACAGAAACCAGUCACCGAUCUCCUAGACAUGGGGCAUGAAGCCCAAUCAGAGUCACAAAAAGCAAUCAACUGUGUCUUGCUUGCUGCAGAUAAUAGAAUACCUUGACCAGGAUUUUUCCUUAUGUAUCGUACCACCUGAAAAGCAGCUUUUAAAUGCGAUUUUUUUGGUCUGUGCAUGAACUGACUCAAAUGUUGAACCGCAAACGUUAUGUCUGGUCGUGUAUUUGUCAAAUAUAUCAAUCUUCCCAAUAACCUUUGAUACAUUGUAACAUCCGUGACUAAAUCAUCUCCAUCCACCUUUGUUUGUACCGACUCAUCAUACUCAAUUGAUGUGAGUUUCAAAUUCUGUUCCAGCGGUGUACAUACUGACUUCGCUUCUCCUAAUCCCAAAUCAGCUAUCAACUCCAAAGCAUAUUUCCUUUGAUUCAAUAUAAUCCCUUUAUUUGAUCUCAUUAUUUCAAUUCCAAGAAAAAACUUCAAUACACCCAAGUCUUUCAUCUUAAAAUUCAAAUGCAGAAACUGCUUCAAUUCAUCUAUCAUGCUAGCACUGCUGCCUGUAAUUAAUAAAUCAUCCACAUAUAUGAGUAGAACAACCAUGUUACCUCCAUCCCUCUUUGUGAACAAGGAAUAGUCGUAUUUACUUUGUACAUAUCCUCCUCGUAUUAAAGCCUCUGUAAGCUUCGAGUUCCACUGCCUGGACGCUUGCUUCAGACCAUACAACGAUUUACGCAGACGACAUACAUGAGACUCCCCCUGGCUGCGAAAACCAACUGGAAUUUCCAUAUAAACUUCUUCGAAUAGGUCUCCUUGAAGGAACGCAUUGUAUACGUCCAUCUGAAAAAGAGGCCAGUUAUGAAUGGCUGCCAUGCUUAUCACCGUCCGAACCGUGACAUGUUUAACGACCGGAGAAAAAGUGUCAUGAAAGUCAAUACCAGCCUUUUGAUUAUAACCCUUAGCAACAAGCCGUGCUUUAAAGCGUUCCACCGAACCAUCAGAAGCAUAUUUAAUUUUGUAAACCCACUUGCAGCCAAUGGGAACAACGCCAGGCGGUAAAGGAACAAUCUCCCAUGUACCAUUAGCCUCCAAAGCUUGAAUCUCUUUUUGCAUGGCAUCAACCCACCGAGGAUCCAAAAGGGCCUCAUCAUAAGUACGGGGUUCAAGUAAAGAAGAAACAUGAGCAGCAAACAAUUGAGUAUGAAUAGGCAAAUGAGAAGAAGAAUAAACAGCAACUAUAGGAAACAAACUUGUGGCACAAGAAGUGGACGAUUGGUUAGAGCAUACGUAGUCCUUCAUCCAAGGAGGCUGCUUAACAGACCUCGUAGUACGUCGUAAAGGAACAGCAGUAGGCAUAGAAGGGUUAAAAGAUGGCUCGGGUACACAAGAUGAAGAGGAUGAAGAAGAUGGAAUAAACAAGGAAGAAGAAGGUUCAAGUUGUAGAAAAAUAGAAGGAUCAACAUCAGGAAAAGGCAAAACCGGUUUGGUGGGAAUCUUAAAAGGAAAUAUGGUUUCAUGAAAAACAACAUCUCGGUUAACAAAAAAGGUUUUGGUUUCAAGAUUAAACAGCAAGUAUCCUUUUUGUACAAGAGAGUAACCCAUGAAUACAGAUGGAAUAGCCUUAUGAGAAAAUUUAUCAUGGUAGCUAGGAUUAGUAGCAUAAGCUAGAGAACCAAAGACCUUUAAUCGAGAAAAAUCAGGUGACUUAUGAUACAAUAGCUCAAAAAGACAUUGCCAGCUUAAAAUAGGCGUAGGAAGACGAUUAAUCAAAAAACAGCCAGUUAAAACGCACUCACCCCAAAAUUUGCUAGGCACGUGAGACUGAAAUUUUAAGGAUCGGGCGACUUCUAGUAAAUGUCUGUGCUUUCGUUCAGCAACUCCAUUUUGUUGAGGAGUAUAAACACAUGAACUUUGAUGAACAAUUCCAGACAUAUUAAAAAAUUCAGUACAUUCAUUUUUAAAGAAUUCAUACCCAUUAUCACUACGAACAGUUUUGAUUACAGUAGAAAAUUGAUUUUUAACCAACACAAAAAAUUGUUUGAGACAUAUAAGAUCAUCACUCUUAGAGCGCAACAAAUAAACCCAAGUCAUUCGUGUGUAAUCAUCAACAAUCGUUAAAAAAAACCUAUGACCACUAUGAGUAGAAACUCGAUAAGGUCCCCACAAAUCAAUGUGCACAAGAGAAAAAAGUAGUAUUAUCACGAGACUUAUGAAUAGGAAAUGGAAGUUUGGUUUGUUUAGCUAGUGGACAAACAGGACACUUAUGAAUACUGUCAACAACAGAUUUUGUACAAGAAAAAAUAGGAACCUUGUUCAGUCUCAAAACCGACGCAUGACCAAGUCUAUGGUGCCAAAGAAUGGAUGAAUCUGUAGAAGCCAUGGAUGAAUCUGUAGAAGCCAUUGUAACAAAAGAAGGAGGUAAAACCAUAGUCUGUUGAGACGGAUCCAGGAUAUAAAGACUACCUCGUGCUUUACCAAUCCCCCUCAUCCUUCCACUGGAGAGAUCCUGUAUAAGGCAAAAAUGAGGAUAAAAAGAAACCAUACAAUGAAGAUCGGUGGUAAGUUUGGAAACAGAAAGUAAAUUGUAACGAAAAUUCGGAACAUAAAGAACUUUUGUCAAUGAAAGGUUAGGUAAAAUUGUGCAAGUGCCAGUAUGAGUAACGGAGACUGAAGACCCAUUUGGAAGCCUAACACUUGGUGACCCUAAUGGACAUGCAACAGGAGAUUCCAAGAAAUGAAGAUCCGACAGUAUAUGGUCAGUGGCCCCAGUGUCAAUGAUCCAUUUGUUACCAAGAUCCACCAUACCUGCUAUACUGGUAGCAGCUUCAACGACAACAGGGUCUUUAUUCAACAAACGCAUGAUCUGGUUAUAUUGAUCUUGUGUAAACAUAGGUACUGUCGGACAUGACCCACUAGAGUCCAGUACUUCACUACUACAAGCAGAGUCAGGGGUAGAAACAUUAUUCACUGCCGAAGAAGAAGAAACAUUCAUUUUCCUCUUUGUAAACUUAAAAUCUGCAGGAUAACCGAUGAGUUUAUAACAAGUCUCUCUUUUAUGUCCCUUAACUUUGCAGUGGUCACAAAUACCAUUAAAUCGUUUUUUCUGUACCAUCUGAACUGAAGAAAAAGGAACCAAGUCAUCCCCAACAUUACUAGAACUAUGCUUUCUCUGCGACUCUUCUUGCAUAAUCAUCGAGUACGCAUGAUUAACAGACGGUAAAGGACUCAUCAAUAAAAUCUGACUACGCACAACACUAUAUGACUCAUUCAAUCCCAUAAGAAACUGGAAUAAACGCUGCUGUCCAACAUGAACAUCAUUCUGUCGAGACUGACCACAAUCACAAGAAACCGGUGGUACAAGGGCAUCAUAUUCGUCCCAAAGUAACUUCAAUCUGGUAAAAUAGGCAGAGAUUGAGAUCGUACCUUGAGAAUAGGUAGUAAUUUCACGAUGCAAGAAAUAAAUUCUUGAACCGUCAAUUUUGUGAAAUCGUUCACUAAGAUCGUUCCAAACUGCUGCCGCACUGGACGCAAAAACAAUCCCCGCCGAGAGUUCUUUACUAACAGUAUUUAGAAUCCAAGAAAGGACAAUCGCAUUGCAGCGCUCCCACUGAUGACCCAUAUCCUCCGGUACCAUGGUUUUAGAACAGGUGCCAUCCACAAAUCCCAACUUGGUUUUUGCCAAUAACGCAAUUCUCAUCGUCCGACUCCAAACAGUGUAAUUCUCAACACCUGUCAACUGAUGAGCGACGAGCAAUGUACCCGGAGUAUCUGAUGGAUGAAGAUAACACGGGUGAUUGAAAUCAAGAACAGAAUCAGAGAGACUCAUCUUCUUUGUUACUGAAAGAACCCAAAAAGAAAACAAAGAUAACCAGCAAUCCAAAAAACGUCGAAGACACAAAUGAAAAGUGCCCUAGAGAACAAACCAAAAACUGCUAGAACUAUCGAACUUGGGCUACAGAUACCAGCCCAAUAACUAGCUUAAGAAAAAAACAGCAAAGAAUUAUCAGAAAAAACGACUACCAUAGCAUCUGAUACCAUGUUGAAAAAAAUUCUCACUUACUUGUUUAAUACACAGAGUAUGUUUACAUUUAUAGACUAUUUGUUUAACUAACUAACUAAUCUUGUAACUGCCUAAUUUUGCUAACUACUAACUACAUUAACUUCUCAACAGAAUUAAACAGUACAAAGUUGCCAGUGUCAAGCAUGGAAGCUGAGGAAGCAAAACUCGCAUUUCCAAUGAUGCUUAUCUCCCGUCCUUGAUUCUCUUGCACAACAAGCCUACCUUCCGUGUUGAAAAGCAACGUGACAUGGCUCGAAAACGGCGUUUCAUCUCGGUUUACCGUCCAUACGAUGGUUCUCGGCUGAAUGUUUUGAAACCAUAUGCAUAUAGCGAAGCCAUUUCCAUAAGGAUAAAAACCAAAGGCGAACUGACCAGACUCUGAUAACCAAUGUGAAUCACCGGUUGGCGAAAGAGAAGAAGCUAAAGAAAUGUUGGAAACUAUUGUUUGAUCUUGUGAUGUGAAGAUUAUGCAAGUUGUUAUUAAAAGAAAGAGAGAAAAGAGGAGAGCCAUUUUUGGAAGUUUGGGACUUUAGUUUGUCUCUUUAUGAAUAGGUUUUAGCCAUUUUUGAAGGCCUGGUUAAGUUGAGUUGGAAAUUAGGUUGAAGAUUCCACAGAAAAAUAAGUCACUAUUCUGGGCCCUUCAGUUUUCAUGGAACAUGAUGUUUUCUGAAUUGAAACCGGGUCUUGAGGGAAGAAAAUAGUUUACAAAUCUUGAUUCAGCAGCCAUUGGCUUGUUGACUUUCCUUACCAAUGCUUUUUAUAAAUCAAAAUUCUUUAUUCAGAUCUUUACUUAAAAAAAUAUCAAAUUCCUUUCCUCGUUGGAUCCAAAUGAUUCAGUCUUUAGAAUGUUACUUUCAUUUCUCCUAUACCAAGCCUUUGAAUAGUUCAAACCUUAAUACAAAAAAGAAAAUUAUACAACAGCCAAAGCAGACUUCAUGGUUUUCGGUAGGUUUUCCUUUUGGAAGGAUGCGAUGCAUGACCAUGCGUUUUGACUCAAAAACUUUUUGGGUUAAUAACAGAAAACGUCUCCAAACUAUGGCAUAUGUUUUAAAUUAGCUCUUAAAACGUUUUAAUUGAAUCCUAAAAGCAUUAAUACGGUAUCAAUCAGUUUUUUUCUUUUAGCCUAGCCGUUAUAAAAGUUAACUAUAAAGUAUGUUAAAGAAAUAAAUAGUCCUUUUUUACUUGUCUUUUAACAUAUUAAAUUCACGUUUCUAUAAAAUGAUAUUACAUAUAUGUAUAUAUGAUUUAUAUAUGGUUCCACUUCAUAUAUAAGCAUGUAUUUAACACCGAAACUGAUGUUAGACUAUUGAUAAUUUGAAGAUUUAAUUAAAACAUUUAAAAGUUUAAGAUUUAGUUUGAUAUGCCUAAUGUAAUUCACCCAAACCAUUUUUUUUAAUGAUUGCUUGGAACUAUGGUUUGGUUCAAACUUGAUGUGAAUUUAGUGAAAGUGAACAGGAUUGAAUUCCAUCUUUAGAUCUGUUCUUAUCCUUGAAAAGAAUUCUUAUUAUUGACCCAAAGAAACUUAGAAUUAUUAUUUUCUUAAAUUUUAAAUGGCGGGUGGCUUAGAGUUUUAUAAUACCAGACAAUUUCAUUCUUUAAUUUAUAUUAAUUUUUCAUUUUUGUUUAGGUAAAAUUAAGCAAAAGUAUUAAAAAAAAUUAUAUUAUCAAGAGAAUGUGAGUAAUAUAUUAUUAUUGUAAUAAUUACACAACAUAAUGUUUUUGUUUUAAAAGUUUGGGAUUGUAUGCUGUUUAAAUAUUUUAAAAAAAAAAUUACAUCUUCCUUAAAUUACCUUACAAUCUCUUGAUCAUGUAUCAUUUUUAACACUUUUAUCCUUAUUUUUAAUUACUUUAAUUAAUUUUAUUUAAACCAAAACUAUAUAUUUAUUAUUGUAAGUUAAGUAAAUUUGAAUUUAUCAAAUUUAUUACAAUUUUCUUCUUAAAAUAUUACUUUUAUAACAAAGCUAUGUUUUUGUCAAACUUGUCUUUAAACCAUAACAAAUAACACUUUAAAAUUUUUUUUCUAGAAAAACAUAUUUUUCUUUUUUCUCGUCUAUUUAAUUUAAAGAUGUAUCCUAAUUAUUUAUCUCUCAAGAAGGGGUUAUAUGAGACCGUGAUUCUAUCUCAUUCCUAUCUCUUUACAAUAGGAGAAUAAUAAAUCAUAAUUUUUCUUUUAAUUUUCAGCUUUUUCCUCUUGAAAAAAAUCAAAUCCAAUAAAAAUACUAAAAUUUUGAAAAAAAAAAUUCUACAAAAACAAUUUAAUGAAAUAUGCUUUCAAGUGCUUGUAUAUUUUGUUAACCAAACAACAAAAUGGUUUAUUCUAGCCAAAUGAAUCAAACCAUGUAAGAUAGCAUCAACAAACAGGGAAAAAGAUUGUAUGAAAUAAGAACACCACAGAAUCUGUAUUUAUUUGUCAAUAGUUUAAAGCCUUGAAAUUCAAGAUGAAAUUAUUGAUAUGAUAUUAAACUAUUAAAAAUAAAUAAUAUCCCUGUUUCAUACCAUCAUUUUUCAAGUAAAUAGUAAAUAAUAUUACAGACUAGUAAUUAUAUGAUAAAAAAAUAUCAAGCAUAACAGUUAAAAUAACUUUUUUUUUUAUUCUCAUCCCAUAUCUUUUGGGGGAACUUAACUAUUGUUCAAUAUAAAUAUAGUAUCCCAUUACAAAAUAAGCUUUGAAAUGGGUUAAAUACUUUGAUGAUUGAAACCUGAAUCCAGUAAAGAUAGAGUGGGAGAAGAAUUAGAAUUGUACACUCAUUCCUUUUUCCCUUCAGCAGCAUAGAGUGCUUUAAUUUCUUCAAUAUCAUCAUAGCUGCCAAGAAAUAUUGGUGACCUAUCAUGUAUCUUAGUUGGAACCAAGUCAAGUGCCUGCAAAAGUUACCACGUUAAAAAAUCAGAGGUCAGCAUGAGCAAGAUAUUAGCGAUUUUACCGGCCACCAUUCAUUGUUGCCUACGAAAACUUAAAGACCAUCCCACACUCCACAAGAAAGCAUUACACGGAUAUCACUAGAUCAGAUUGGUACCAGAAAAAGUUCAGUGUAAGUACCCGUUGCUUUCCAGUGAACGCUUGACCUCCGGCAUUUUCCAUCAAAAAGGACAUUGGAAAGACUUCAUAGAGAACACUGGUUCACACAAAAACAUGGUUAGAAACUAAGCCUCAUAGUCAUGGCAAAUGAAAAUUCGUGUUGGCAAAACAUAUUUAACAAACAAGCCUGCAAGUAAAUGGGAGCACAAACUGCAUUUAACAUACCGCAGCUUCCCACUGGGGCUCUUCUUAUCAGCAGGGUACAUAAAGGUCCCGCCGUAGAGUAACGUGCGAUGGACAUCCGCUACCAUGCUGUUCAUCAUAAUGUCAUUAUCGUAAAACCAAGUCCUUAUUAGAAGAAAUGACAACAAAAACAGUUGAAAAACAAUGCAUCAUCCUCCUAACCUCGUACAAAAAAACAGAUGGAACUCACAACUAGAGAUUAAUUGUAGUUACUUGUUCAUGAAGUAAGAAUUGUUCAAUGAAACAAACAGAACAGAUAUGACAGUCUCAAGAUAUGCCCAUGAUCAGAUUCUUCAAUUUCAGCUAAAAUAAUAAAUCUGCUUAGAUUUUUUCAACAAUCUAGAUUAAAUAUGUAGUUCAUACUGAUUUCCUUUUUUCUAGAUUGGUCACUCAUACAUUCAAUUCCUUGUUUAAUAAUAUAAGUCUCUCUUUUCCAAGACUUGGACUUAUUCCUACUCUGUUCAAACAAAUUUUCAAGCUAAGAGCACCAGACGUCCCACAGCCGCCGCCCUCGGCGGCACCUUUCGAAGGAAGGGAAGUUGUUUUCUUUUUCUCUAAAAGAAACAUUCAUCAUAUCAUAAUCAAUAAAUGGUAGAUUUCAUUCUAUGCCAGUAUCAAUAUUCCAACACCAUAAAUGGAGAUAAAGCGGCACGGUAAGUUACCUUCCAAUAUAUCUCAGAGACUUCGAAGGGGAACCAUCCUUAGGGAACUUACAAUUUUCGACAUACCUGAAGUUCGAGAGAGAUUAUGGCAACUGCGUAGAAAGACAAAUAUAAAAUAAGAAACUUGUAAACCGAACUAAAACAUACUUAGCCGUUGGUCCGUCCCAAUUCUUUGCAUUUCCUUCAUUAACUGAAUAGAUCUUCCCUUUCUUUGGAAUCUGAGUGGUAAACCAAUUAUUCUAAGGGUGUAAGAAUCUGAACCAUAAAAGAGAUAAUCAUAUGAUUAAUCCAAGACCAAAAAAGAAUAUACCCUGAUGUCUGGGUGAGUUAGUAUGAACUCGCCAAGAGAUGGAUCAAGGGUGAAUCCAUUAACUCCUUUCCCAGUGCUCAACACAAGCUGCAAUACCAUUUCAUUCAAGAAGGAAGUACAAGGCCAUACAACAGAAAUUACUCAACAAGUAAAUAAAAACAAGUAAAACAUUAUACCGUGCAAGAACUUCCAUACAUGCAAUAGCCAGCAGCUACCAUUUGCUUCCCAGGUUGCAGCACAUCAGCUAGUGUUGGUUCAUGGUCAUCUUUCACCAUGUAAAUCCCAAAAAUCUAGAUGAAACACAACUCAUUCAGUUGAUCACUGCAAUAUCAAGUUAUCUUUCUAUGGCAUGGCAUUUUGGGAUUAAGAUUCAUACUGUUCCAAUAGAAACACCACAAUCAAUGUUGGAGGAACCGUCGAGUGGAUCGAAAACUACACAGUACCUGCAUUGUAUAAGACCAAGUUCAUAAUGGAAGCAAUUAUUCAUUAGAAACAGAGCAGAGAACAAGUGAAAGCACCUUCCACACUUUGAGGGCUCCACAAUAAUUGCAUCUUCAUCUUCUUCCGAGACAAGGAUGCACUGAUAUAACAUUCAAAUAUGUUGCAAAGAAAAAUCAUAACAUCUCCAAUGUUUACUUGAAAAAAAGUUGAUCCAAUUUACUCACAGUUCUGCCACUGCUCACUAAAGCCUUGAUAAAGACUUCAUUUGAAAGCACAUCCAGUUUCUUUUGCUCCUCACCCUUUAUUUAAAAGAACAAACUUGGUUGAAAUAUGACUACCAAGAAUAUAAUAAACAAAACAUUCAUUUGAACAUGUACUUGCCUGAAUAUUGAUCUCCCCAGCAAGUCCAAUGAGUUUGGCAAGACCAGCCUAUAUACCAAUAAACAGAAUAUGAGCCAGAAUUCAUUUGGGAAGGAAACUUUAACCCUAUUGAAAGGAAUAAGAGAAAGACCUUGUUAACAGAAGAGCAAACAAACUUGCAACCAAGAACGAUGUGAUUGAGCAAGAUGGUGAAAUCACCACGAGACUCGGGAUAUUUGGAUUGCUCGUUCAACACGAAACGUGUUAUGGUCAUCAAAUCAGUCCUAUGAGCAUCUGCUGCAUGAUCCAUGAUCUCUCUUCUCCCUCCAAAAACACAAAACAAAAGCAAAGAAAGAAAAAGGAAGUGACCCAACAGAGCAAUGACAGUAACAAAACAACUAUAAAGGAGAAAUUAGAGAUUGGGUUUUGCCUUUUUCGAGGUGGAGUAGGAUAAUGACUGUUUUCCAGGGGAGGAAAGAGUGUAAUUGAUGGAAAUGGAAGGUUUAGUGGACACGUAGAGGGAGGUGUUGGUGUUGUCGUCACUGAAACACACGAAAGUUGAAAAACGAAUUUCGUUUUCUUUCUUAUCUUUCAGUUUCAGGAUUUGACAGCUUUCAAUUUUUUACUUUUUUUUGCUUUUCAGUAAAUAGCUAAGAGAUUAAUGUAUAAAUAUUAAUUAUUUUUAUUAAUACAAAUUGACAAAUGUAUGAGUAAAUAUUAAAAACACAUAAUUAUAAAUAUAAUAUAUUGCUAACAAAACAAUCAUUAACUCUAAAUUACAUGAAUUAUAAAACCAAAAAGAAAAACUCGUGGGUGACAUCACCAUUUUCACAGCCAAUGCUAAUAUUUUCUCUUUCUCCCUACUGCUAUUUCUACAGGAAGAUUGCCUGAGAAAUGAACAGUUAUAAGGGGAAACCAGCCCAAGAGGAAUAGGUGUUAGAAUACAAGGCAAGUGGGACAAGGCAUGAGUCUUUGGUAUGAAUAAUUAUAAGAAAAUUGUUACUAAUAUAUUUAUAUCAACCUUUUAGGAUUCCCGUGAAUCAAAAUCUAAAAUGUUUGCAUCCGUCGUAAAUUGGUGGUAUGGAACAUCCGAGUAAACACACAGUCAACUUCACGACAGAGAUUCAAAAUUUGAGAUUAGCUUUAGUUUGGUUUGUAUUAAUUGCUCCUUUAUUAUAAUUUAAUACUCAUAAUUAUUUAAAUUUGUAUUUAUACUUCAGUUGUGUUGUAUUUAUUACACUUAAUAAAAAAAUUGGGAUCAAAAUGGGAAGGACUUCUUCAACAAAACCAAAACAUUUUAACAACAAAUUCCAAACCACCCUUCAUAUAUAUAAUAUAUAAAAGAUUACAAUUAAAAUAGUAUUUUCUACUCUCUCUUUUUUUAAUGAAUGCAUUUAAUUUUCAAUUUUUUUUAUAUUGUUAGAUAUUUAUAUAUUUAUGUUGAAUACUAAUAUUUUAUAAGAAGAUGAAGAUUUAAAAUCAUAUAGAUUAUUAGUUUUUAUGUGUACAAUACACAGAUUAGUUAUAUGUAUUAAUUAAAUUAUUUUUUAAUUACAUUUUUAUUUUUUUAUAAAAAAUAAAACAUUUCACAAUUACUAUGAUUAAGAAAUUAAAUCAUAAUAAUAUAUAUGUUUAAUUUUAAAAUCUUAAUAGUUGGCUAACAACAUAAAAGGAGUAGUGGUUAAUGCCUUUAUUGGCAUCUCAAAAAUUAAGACUCAAAUUAGGGAUGGCAAAACUCAAAUCACUCAACAGAUUCAGAAUCGAAGCAGAUUUUUUUAUUUAAAAAGUGGAUGCGGAGCAGGGUGGGGAGGGGAGAAGUUUUUCUUUCGGAUAGUGGAUAUGGAGCGAUUAUAGUACUUACUUGCCCCGCACUAACCCACUCCACUAUAUAAAAUUACCAUUUUAUCCUUAUAUACAUAAACUAUUAAAAGGGUACAAAUGGAAUAACGUAAUAUAGAAAAAAAUCAUAUAUUUUAUGGUUUUUUUUGAAGAAUUAUGUUUAAAUAUUUACUUUAGUUAAAAAAGAUUGAAAAAAAUUAAAGAUAAGUAACAAAAAUUAAAUUGAAGCGGAGCGAGGUGGGACGGGGAUGGACGAAUCCAACAUCCGUGGAGGUGGUAAUGAUUUUCAAGAUUAUAUAUCAAUAAUCCAACCUCUAAUCUUGUUUCUAUUGACACUCACAUAAUUGGGAAUGCAGUUUAAAUUACUCUUAUCGAUCUUGUUGAAGGAACUGUGGACAGUCGGUUGUUUUCUACUAAGGAAAUUUAUAUUGUCUAUGAUGAUUCAAGUUACAUGUUAUGCCAUCAACAAGUGUUGUUAGCUCUCAAAAUUCACAAGCUUCAGAAAUUUAUUGAUGCCUCAACUAUUCCUCUACCUCAGUAUAUCAUAGAUGUUGCUAGUGUGUCCAAAGUCAAUCUGGAUUUCAAGUAUUUUGAGCAGCAAGAUAGUGUUCUUGCUUCUUGGUUACUUUCCUCUGCAAUUCAAAGUGUUCUUCUUUAUCUAAUUGGACAUGAUUCUACUGCUAAGACUUCAAAAUAUUGAGUUCUCUUUGUAGUAGUAAAACUACUUCCAAGUUGAUGUAUUAUCGAAAGGCCUUACGUUUUCAGAGAAAAUGACAUUUACCUAUGAAAGAUUUUUUGAUGAAGAUCAAAUUGUUUUGUGAUAAUUUGACUAGUUGCGGUGAGGUUAUUAGUGAGAAUGAACAUAUUACUGCUAUCUUGAAUGGUCUUUCUCUAGAAUAUGAGUCUAAUAUUCCUGUUAUAUCUACCAAUCAAGUGUCUUGUAGCCUUCAAAGAGUCAUUGCCAUCUUGUUGGAUGCUAAGGCUCAACAAUAAAGUUUAGUGGUUAAUGUGAAUGAUUUAGCUCAUGUUGUUGUUCAACAGCAAUCAAGUUUAGUUUCUAGUGAAGAUUCUAGUGAAAUUGUCUAUCGUUCUUCUAAUGGCUAUGGUUAUUCUCGACGUCAUGGUCGUAAAUGAUUCUCCAAUUCAUCUCAACAACAAUGUCAACUUUGUGAAAAGAUAGGUCACUUGGUGGGCUGAUGUAAUUAUCGCUUUGACAUAACUUACAAGAGCACAAAUUAUAGGCUACCACUUGAUCAGGCAAAUGCAUGUUUUGCCUUCCCUUUUCAAAAUUGGUAGAUAAGUUAUCCAUUAGCUCCACAAGGAUUUUUUUUUGGAUCUGUUGCCCUAAGUUUAGUAUUUUAAUCUAUAUACACUUGUAAAUUUUUUGAAAAGAUUGGUUAAUAAAUUUCUUUAUGAUUACAUUAAUAUCCAAUUUUUAUAUUGUCCUCACGUGGUUUUUACUUAUAAAACAAAUAUUAGCUCUUUAUUUGUCUAAUGUUUAAACAAAUACUAAGCGGUAUUACGUGGUCAGAUUGUAAUACGGCGCUUGUAUUAGUAGACGAACCUAAACAUAUCCUUUGUAACACCAUCACGCGAUCUGAUCAUUGAAUUCGGGUACAGGGUGAUACAAAUGAACCAAUUAAGUAACACAUAAUUUUGACUUAACAAUUUUAUAGACCGAUUGCAUUUCUUGUUAAUAAAUAUUCCUACAACAAAAACCUUAAACUAAAUAAAAAUUUACUAUCUCAAAAUUUCUAGACUCUAAAGAGAUCUACUAAGAUAUAAUGUAAUUGACCCCAAAGCGAAACCUCUAAAGGUAUCCCCUUCCUAUGUGCAUGACACUAUACUAACAUUGUUUCCUGAUUCAACACUAUCUGGCUUGGUCCCACCUCAAUAUCUUUAACCCACGAAUCCUACAAAAACACAUGCUAACAUUUUGGUAAGUUUAGUGAACUUAGUGAGUUUAUUCACUACCAAAUUUUAUAACUCUCCCCAUUUUUUACUGUGUAAAAUUUUAAAAGAAAAUAAACUAUUUUAACUCCCUGUUUUUACUCAGACAUUAGCGCCGUAUCUAGGCUGACGGUCUUGCAUACACCUUCCAUCGUCCUUUAAUGGCGGUUUGACCGCUAAUACCUUAAGUUCUUGGUCGAACCUAUGUCCCGAUGAUAAGAUUUUGGUGGUUUUUAGAUGUCUUGUUAUCUUGGUGGGUUCUCACUUUACCCUACACACCUUCUUAUCAAGAAGGCCCAUUUUUUGUUUAGUUCUAAAUCAUAAGUGUCAUAAUCCCGACAGAUACACUAAUAUUCUACUAAUGAGGCCUAUAUAUUCAUAAGUCCUACGAGAAAGGACCGUGCACAUUGGCAAUCUUUCCAAAUCUGUUUAGUCCAUGGUAGACUCCCUUUUCUUACUAUAGUCCCGAAAGAUUUGUUGGCAUUCCUUCCGUUGUCAUAACUAAUGAGAUCCCCCACCACUCUAACAGACUAAGUCCCACAUGGGAUGAAUAAUGGUUGGAUUACUUCUUUGUAAUCCAACUUAUUCGAGAUACCAUACUUAUAAGUGUGACAUGUCCGUCUGUUGGGGGCCACUUGAGCCUACAGUAUCCAAAAAACUAUCCUUUAAAUGAUCAUUUGAGUUUACGAUAUUUCUUAUGUGAUGGUUCCCUACAGAAUUGGCCCUUUGGCGGGUUUUUCGUAAUAUAAUCCUCUUAAAGAGAAAUAGUUUUAACAAACUUAUCUGUCACUCGCUUUAACUUUUCUAGUAACUUUUUUGGUCAAUGGGGUAUAUCUAACCCCUUUUUUUAUCGAUUAGUCUAUCAAGAGCACCAAUGACUAAUCCUCUCUAUUUAACUUUGGUGCCAAUGAGCCUCAUAUUGGGGCAGAACUCCUAAUAACCUUAUGAGGUUUUCUUCUAACAUACAAUGCUUCAUUGAACACUUCUUUGAUGGCUCUUAAUGGAAAUUCCUUAUCCAAAAUUUACAGAUAAGUCCUCCUCUUUUACUUAUAUACAAGGUGUCAUUUCUCCAUGUCUGAUUCCUGCUGGAAUUUUCACCAUUAUGCCCUUCUGGCAUAUUCGCUCACUGUUUUGGCGACUAUUUCCCUGUUCUACUACUUCUGCCUUGUUUGGCGAAUUCCUUAAAAUCUGUUUGCCAACACCUGCAUUAUUCUUCCAACUCUUUUUUUCUAGGUGUGAUUUUCCAUAAUUAUCAUCCAGGUGGUCUACCCUAUGUUUAAUAUCCCGACAGACUCCAUUGGUUGCCAUAACCAAACUACGAUCUUACAUCCUUACACCCUAUGUUUAAUGUCUUGCUAGACUUUCCGUGUUUACUAUCUUGACGGACUACCCCAUAGUUACUGUCCCGAUGGACUGUAGAGGUUGUCAUAGUCGAGUUAUGGUCUUACACGUUAUACCUCUUUUGAGGUGUCACCUCAUAUGACCUUACUAUCAUUGUUGUGUUGUUCUAUGGAACCUAAUAUUCAUUGAUAUCAACUCAUCUCAUAUCCACCUUGAUGCUCAAACACUGAAGUGUUCCGCCGAUAAGGCCUAGAGCUUUGCACAUCGAGGUUGCGCUCAACGAUACCAUAUGGUGGUAUCUUAAUGGAAUUCCAUUUUCCCUAAUCCUCUACCCAUUCCUCCAUUUCACCAUUCUUAACAUUGAUACUCGAACUCUGUAGUGUCCACUCCAUGAGGUCCGAAGCUUUGCACAUCACGGUUUGCAUACAGCAACACCGUAUGGCGAUAUGUUUUCAUACGACACACUAGUGGAUGCUCAUAGGCCUACUCAACCUUAUGUAAACAAGAAUUCUCAAGCAACAAAGAUUAUGCAUUAUCACGAAACUCACUCUGGAAUUAACACAUAUUCUUGCCAAACACGCAGCAUCCCAAAGAUGGAUCUUAAAAUCAUUAUAACCAAAUAAUUAAUGUCAAUAUCAACCGACUUAAAACUCGAUCAACUUUCCUCCAGCCAUUAUAAAAUCAUUAUAACCAAAGAAUUAAAGAUAAAAUAAAAUUAUUUUGAAGAUGAUGUUACCCAAAGUAAAAGUAUAUACCUUAAACAUGGAUCUUAAAAUUAACGUUAAAAAAACAAAAUAAUUAAAGGUUAGAAAAGAAUAAUUGAAAAAAGAAAAACAAAAGGGGAAGUGCGACUUACCCUGCAAAAUAUAGAAAGUCCAACUAAGGUUUAAUUAAUUUAUUUUAAAAAAUCAUUAUAAGAUUUUACUUUCCUCAUGAAUUCUCCAUCAAUUCUUUUGAGGAUCUCCUCAGAUUUCACCUUUGCUUGAGAAAAAAGCUUAAAACUGAGGAUGAAAUGAAUAUAUGCCAAUAUAUAUAUAGGGUUAGAAGUUGUUACCUAAAUUCAUGUUAAAUAUAAAAUACAUGUUAGAAGUUGUGUAACUUAAAUUCAUGUUAAACAUAAAAUACAAGUGGCAAAAUAAGGGGGUCUAUAAAGGUGAAGGCCGCACAAGUGGAAUCCAUAUAAAAGUUUACUUCCUCUAUUUGAUGUUGAUUAGAAUAAUGUGUUUUAACCUUAGUGCGUUACUUCUAUUUGACUUUGAUUAGAAUAAUGUUUUAAACCUAUAAAUAGACGUAAUCGUUUCUCCUUUUGUAUCAUUCGAAUUUAACAUAGUGAAUUUUCUUCUCCUUUACCCGUAGUUUUUUCUCCGAAAAGGUUUCCACGUAAAAUUCUG